UUAACCCUUACUGUCAAAUGUAUCACAUUUCAUCCAAUUUGCUGUUAAAAAGGGUCACAGGCCUCUCAUGUGACACUUCAAUCAUUAAAAACAUAAUUUUUUUUGGAAGAAAAUGAAGAAAAAAAGAAGGAAAAAAGAAGAAGCACCCACCCUAUUCUCCUCAGCUUCAAGCCUCCAACCCCUUCGUCUCCCACCCAUACCCACCUCCCCAUCCCUCAGCUCAGCCAAACCAGCCCACUACCUCUCUCUGUGUCUCUCUCUGAUAUUAAUUCGGUGGUGGGUUGUGGGGUUUCAAAGAAUAAGAAGAAAUGGGUUGGGGUUUGGGUGGUGGCUGCGUUGGUGAUGAUGGACCCAUGGGUGGGGGGUGGUGGCUUCGUGGGUUGGGGUGGUGAUGGUGAUGAAGUCAUGGUGUUCUUGAGAUGGAAUUUGAGGCAGGGAGGAAGGGAAGAGAGAGAAGGCUGCAGGAGUGGUGCUGGGUACAUGAUAUUCUUUAACGGAAAAUGUGAGGAUAUUCAACAGUAGUGGGUAGAUUGGGUAAUUUCAUUGUUUAAGGGUAUUCUAAGAAAAAAAGGUUAAGGGGCAUAUCCAAAAUUAGCUGCAACUUCAGGGGGGAUUUCGACAGUUUACUCUUAUCUGUUUUGAUGUACAAUGAUUGUCUUCAGGGGGUUAUUGUUGUGAUGAUUUUGUACCUUGCAAAGGUGAAUUUUGAUGUGAGAUUGUGUAGAUAGCUUGUAAUUUCUCGUGCUGAUUAUGAAUUUCUUUUUCUGGCAUGUAAAUCUUGCUUUGAGCUGAUCAACUUUUUGCUCAUGCUCAUUGAAUUUCUAAAAUCUGUUGCAGUUGUCAGAGCUUGUGAAUGUGGAAGGCUAUAGUGACUGGAUUCGUUUAGUAGCAGAGUUCACAUUAAAGUCUUUGCAAUCCUGGAAGGUUGACUGUCUUUCGUCCCUUUAUUUUAAGCAUUACCCAAAGAUUGUUGCAUAUUAGGCUGUUAAAUGAAAACACUUCCACGUUAAAUUAGUGUCACCCUUGCCCUUGUCCCAUGUAUGGGGUCGGCAAUUGAUCUACUCUUCUUAUAUAUUAUACUAUCUUUUAAAUCUAAAUUUUGUAGAUCCUUUUAUUUUACUUCAACCCAUGUGAGUCUUGAUUGGCGUCACAAUCUUUUUCCUUCUAUUUAAAUUAGUCUUCCUUUAGUUAAGUGCAUCUAGUAGUCUAUAUUGUAUGUCAUACCAUAUAAGUCUAGUCACUCUUAUCUUAUAGUUCUUCGUUGUCAAUCCUAAUGUUUCUUUAAUUCACAAAUUUUUGUUCUGUUUUGUUGUAGUCACUUUUACCAUCUAUCUUAGCACUACCAUCUGUGCUUCAUGGGUGCAGAAGAAAAUAAUAUUGCUGUAAUUGCUGGUUUCAAUAUGAGGCCACCGAAGUUUGUUUAUAUUUUAAUUACUUACUUUGACUCACAAAAAUAUCCUUGAAGGUAAAACAGUAAAAAAAAAAAUCAAUAAAGAUAGAAGACAGCACAAGGGCUAUAGCUCAGUUAGGCAGAGCACCUUGUCUACACGGGCGGUUUGAUAACCUGCUACUAAUUCUUCUUCUGUGUUUCCAACUGAUGCAUUGCUCUUGCUUUUGCUAUAAAGUCAAAAAUUUCGUUCGAUAAAUAUUACUUGUCCUAGUGUGUUUAUAGCGCCUGGUGGCCAGAACUAAUUAUCUGGAUUAAAAAAAUUGCAAUUUGAAUUACUGACAAACUUUUUCUUCUUGCCAGUGGGCUAGCAGCAGUGUAUACUACCUUUUAGGACUAUGGUCUAGAUUGGUGACAUCUGUACCAUACUUGAAAGGCGAUGCACCCAGCUUGCUUGAUGAAUUUGUGCCAAAAAUUACUGAAGGUUUCAUCACAUCAAGAUUUAAUUCCGUUCAGGUAUACGCCAAAAGCUUUCCUGGGUCAAUAUUAUAAUUUCACUUUCAAAGUUGAGACAUCACUCUCUCUUUCUUCUGUUACUAUUUACAGGAUGGAUCGCCAGAUGAUCUUUCUGAGAACCCAUUAGACAAUGUUGAACUUCUUCAGGAUCAGCUGGAUUGUUUUCCUUACCUCUGUAGAUUCCAGGUAUGCGCUUGUCUCUUUUUCAGUUUGAAGAAAAUAUUGUUUUGCAAAUUGUUAAAUGAUUAUUUUUGUAUAUAGAAUUGCAUUUAAAUAUGUAUCCUGACAUUGACAUGUGGAACUGAUUUGUUUUUGUUAAAAUUGGCUCUGUAACCACCUUUCUUUGGAUUGCAGUAUGAAAGCAGUAGUUUGUAUAUAAUAAACAUAGUGGAGCCUAUUCUGCAAAUAUAUACGGUAUGAGCAUUUAUAGUGAAGGAUGCCUUUUGGAAAUUAAAAAGAAAAAUUUGUUGACUUCAUGUUUUUGAUAAAUUCUUUUGAAUUAAAUAGGAAAGAGCUCGAGUGCAGACCAGUGAUAACAGUGACCUCUCUGUUAUUGAAGCCAAACUUGCUUGGAUUGUUCAUAUUGUUGCUGCAAUUCUUAAGAUAAAACAAUGUACUGGAUGCAGGUAAAGAAAACAAAACUACUUUUCCAAUCUAAAGAAAAACUACAUUUCUUCGUUUUCUUCAUUUAUCUUUUCUCUUCAAUGCAGAGUGUACCAUGGUAUUGUUACAACAAUAUUUUUUUUUAAUGGUUUUACAUUUUUCCUGUGCAGUGCUGAGUCACAAGAAGUACUUGAUGCGGAACUUUCGGCUCGUAUCUUGCAAUUAAUAAAUGUCACUGACAGUGGGGUACACAGCCAGGUACAGCAGCAGGAAUGACUACCUUUCUAAAUUUUAGAUUUGAAGUGAAUAUUUACCUUCUAAUGCUACAUUAUUCUUAUCUUUCUCUGCCUAAUUUGGUGCUUUUUCGUGUCAUGGUUUGAUAUAAAAUUAAUCUUACCUUCUAAUUCUAGGAUACAGAUACAGAAACAAAAUAGUAUUUAUUAUGAAACUAGAAUAUAGUUUAUGUUUUCUGGAAAAAGAAAAAGUAACAAGCGUACCCGUUGGUUCCAUUGCAUUAUGCAUUAAUUACCACACAUUAAAUGCGCAACCUCGCUUGUAUUUACACUGUUCAUAUGCAUUGAGGCGGGUUAAUUGGGUUAUUCCUCAGUCACCUUCUUUCUGAAAAGUACGUCUUUUUGCAGUGGAAAUAAGGCAAGAAAUUAGCUGUCUUUUGAGUACUUUGGUUAGAGAGAAAUAGGAGAAUCUUUGAGAACUAUAGUGGGGAUGCAGAAGAGAAUUCUUGGAAAAGAGUCAGGUUUUGGGCAUCCUUAUGGGCUUCUCUUUCUCUAGCUUUUAGAUCUUUCAUUUCUGUAAUUGUACUAGAUUGGGGUGCUGUUGUAGUAUAGCUUUUUUUUUUUUGAAUAGAAACAUUGUAUUGAUAAUCAAGAGGAAAAAUCCUCGAUCAAACAAGAAGACCAAAAAUAAAGAGUCUGACCUACUAAGAUUGAAAAAAAAACUGUAUAAAAAACACGAAAAACACAGAACUUCAGUAAAAUCAUCUUAAGACUGCCAUCAUGUCUCUCAUGAUGGUAGAGUAGUGAUAGUCCUUGAACUGCCCCGAAACCGAAGCCCAAAGGGAUGCCCAAAAUUUAAUUCUGUCCCAUAAUUCCUCAACCCUUACUCCUAUAUGACCCUGAAAAAUUCUUCGAUAUCGCUCCAUCCAGAUAUUCCAGAAAAUAGCAUGAACUAGACAAUCACGAAGGAUUCCAGCUCUCUUCCCCUUCCCCGAAAUCCUCAGAUUGAUACUAAGGAGCUCAAAACACCCUUUAGGAAUCACCCACUCUGCUCCGAGAGCACCCAACAUCCUCCACCAUAAUUUUAGGGAAUACGAACAAUGAAUGAACAAGUGAUCAAUGUUUUCUGCAUUCUCUUUGCAAAGAACACACCAAGAGGGGGAUAAGCAUAUCUUUGGUUGCCUCCUUUGAAUGCAAUCGCAAGUAUUAAUCCUGCCAUUUGCUGCCAGCCACACGAAAAAUUGAAUUUUCGGCGGAGUCUUUGCCUUCCAGAUUGAGCUGAAAGGGGGGAAGACAUCCCUUGUGGUAGAGAGAAGAAAAGACCUGAAAGACUUGCAGGAAAAAGAACCCUGCUCCUCAAUCUCCCAAGACCUCCGAUCCAAUCUAGAACCAUAUAAUCUCACCUUCCCCAAUAUAUCCAAAAGUAUUACCACUUCAGCUAUUUUAGCCUCGGACAAAUUCCUUCUGAAAUCAAAAUCCCAAUUGAGAGGCAUCUCAUGAUUGUUAGCAAAACAGGCUAUACUUUGAUUUUUUCUCCUAGACAAGGAAGAGAGUCUAGGAAACAGAUCUUUUAGAAUCCCUUCUUUCAGCCAAAGAUCCUCCCAAAAUCUAAUUUUUCUCCCCAUUUCCAACAGAAAAUCUGCAGCAUUGAAGAAAAGAAUUAUACCCUUUCGAAAUUUCUUGCCAAGGAUUCCUGCAAGACACCUUAACUAUCUGUUUAGUAUCCCACCCAUUUGAGUCUAUUCCGUACUUGCUCUUAAUGAUCCUAUGCCAUAGCGAAUUGGUUUCAAGUGGAAAUCUCCACAACCAUUUGGCUUUUAAAGUUAAAGUUUGUAUUACAAUGUAUGAAGUAUAUGUUUGAGAUUUAAUUUUUGUUAGGGCUGUAUCAAUUUGAUGGUGGACUUCUGGUUCACUAAGUUUUGUAUUGUGAUUUUAGAUCUUUAAUAAAACUUUGUUUCUCUUAAGAAAAAAAAAAUCCUAAUAAGGAUGCAACUUGUAACAUUGUUCACAUUUCUUUACUUUUUUUUAAUCGCUCUGUCAUUUGGCAGAGAUAUGGUGAAAUAAGCAAGCAAAGACUUGAUCGUGCAAUCCUUACCUUCUUUCAACAUUUUCGGAAGUCUUAUGUGGGUGAUCAGGCCAUGCAUUCUUCGAAGGUAAUUAAUUUUUCCCUUCCGUUCUUUGAAGUUUAUGUUAACAUUGCGCUUGAAGCUUCUCCUUUUGUUGCAGCAGUUAUAUGCCCGCCUUUCUGAGCUUCUUGGACUUCAUGAUCAUCUUUUAAUGUUAAAUGCGAUUGUUGGCAAGAUUGCUACAAACCUGAAAUGUUAUACUGAGGUGAAAUAGUUUUCAUCCUUUGCUUAUGUUAGAUACUUUUCUUUAUUCUGUUUUGCAUUUUAAUCCUUGCCUAUUCUCAGAGUGAGGAGGUCAUUGGUCACACCCUGAGUUUAUUUUUGGAGCUGGCAUCUGGGUUAGUUUUGUUAUUUCAGUAUUUGGUUUAGAGCAUUGGAGUUGCUUGUUGAUUUAAGAGAACCUCAUUUCCCUUAAUGGUGCUUACUUAAUGUACCACUAUAAUUCUUUUGGCAGAUACAUGACUGGAAAGCUACUUUUGAAGUUGGAUACUGUCAAAUUUAUAGUUGCCAAUCACACUGUAAAUCCAGAUCUGAGAUGUCUUUCUUUUACAUUUACAGCUUUGAUUUGAAAAUCUUGAGUCUCUUGUCUGAAAGUUCUCAUCUUGAAUGUCUAUUUUCAGAGGGAGCACUUCCCAUUUCUAGAAGAGUAUAGAUGUUCUCGCAGCAGAACAACUUUCUAUUACACAAUUGGUUGGCUAAUAUUCAUGGAAGACAGCCCUGUGAAAUUUAAAUCUUCCAUGGAUCCACUUCUGCAAGUAAUCUCUCUCUCUCUCUCUCUCUCUCUCUCUCUCUCUCUCUCACACACACACACACACACACACACAAAUUUUGCUUAUGUGCGUGCUGUAUAAUCUGCACAUGUUUUCUUGCGCUCUUCGUUAAAAUACUUGACCGUACUGAUUUUAGUGUUAAGUUCGCUAUUGGUUAUCAAUGUGUGGUUUUCUUUCUCAUAAUAGAAGAGAAUUUACAAACCUGCUAUACAGUCGUUUGAAUAAGAAUGAAUUUCAUUAAUGAAAGUGAAAACCAGAACAAUGAACUUGAACAAGGGGUCCAGCUAUCAAGAAAAUAUAGAAUAACAGCUAAAUUAAAAUGGUAUUUCCUGAACCCUAGCAGAAACGGAAAUCCCGGACCUUAUCCCACAAUAAACCCAUUUCUACCUCACAUUUGUUUUAAUUUCUAAAAAAAUUCCUCUUGGUCCUCUUUGUUUAUUAGUCAUUGUUGCUUGAGUUCUUUGAAGAAAGAUUGUUGCUAUUUGUGUAUUGCCAACGUUAAUUAUUUUUGUAGGGUUUAAUUUUAGUUACUCAUGUACUAUAUGUGGUAUUUUAGGUUUUCAUCAAUCUGGAAUCAACUCCUGAUUCAAUGUUUCGUACUGAUGCUGUAAAGUAUGCGUUAAUUGGGCUGAUGAGAGACCUUAGGGGAAUUGCCAUGGCCACAAAUAGGUAAAUACUUCUUCAUUUUUUGAAUUGAAUAACAUAAUAUUUUUCUUAUGCUCUUCUCUUUGAAUAUCUUCAGUCGCAGAACUUAUGGGCUUCUGUUUGAUUGGUUGUACCCCGCACACAUGCCGCUUCUUUUGAAAGGCAUUUUGCACUGGUCUGAUACACCAGAGGUAAAGGAUAUGUUAACUUAUUCCUUGAUCGAGAAAUUCAACAGAGUUCUAAUGUCUUAAGUGGUAAAGCCAACAAUGAAUUAUCUAAACUUUCAUACUUUGGAACUGAACCAUUAGUACUAAUUAAGGAUUUCCACAUUUUCAGAAAGAUUUUAUUAAAAUUAAAUAAAUAAAUGUCUUGUGAAGCAAAUGCAAAAGCCUGUUUCUUGUUCAACAACCCCUUUGCAUUUUAUCUUGUAGCUUGUUGAUCAGGUAGAAUUAAAUACUUAUCUCUUGAUAUCAUUGUUUUCUUUCAGUCCUGUACAAAUCUCUCUCUGUAUUAUGUGCGUGUCCAGCUACAUUUGCUUCCUUAUUUAUUUCUUCCAAAGUUAGUGGUUAUUCUUUUCUCAAAUUUUCAGUUCUUAAUGCUGCAGGUGACCACCCCUUUACUGAAAUUCAUGGCUGAGUUUGUACUGAACAAAGCCCAACGUUUGACUUUUGACUCAUCUUCUCCUAAUGGCAUACUUCUUUUCCGAGAAGUCAGUAAAUUGAUUGUUGCUUAUGGGUCAAGGAUUUUGUCUCUCCCAAAUGUUGCUGAUAUAUAUGCCUUCAAAUACAAAGGAAUAUGGAUUUCUUUAACUAUUCUCACGAGAGGUGAGACCAUGAACCUAUUGUUUCUUGUAACAGUAAUGUGGGUUUAAGAAAGUCAUGUUCAGGGUGAGACCAUGAAAUAUUGAUUGAAUCAUGGGCGACCUUAACAAUUUCAUUUAUUCAAUGGGAAGUUUAACCCGUGAGUUGUGGUCCAGUGGUUGGGGGACUUGUUGGGGAACUGCCUGUUUGGGGUUCAAAACUCACUGAGGUACCUAUCUCGAUUAUUGCUAGAGUUUCCUUGCCCCCCAAAUAUUGUAGGGUUCGGCAGGUGGGCCCCAGUUUGGAAGCUGAGUCAGCAAAGCUGACAAAGUGGAGUUUUGGUUUGUCAAAAAAAAAGAAAAAAGAAAGGAAGUUUAGAGAUGGAAAGACUGAACAUGCAUCAAUGUUUUAUGUAUGUAAAUUCUUAAAAGAAAUAUGAUUACUCAAAAAAAUAAUGUGACCGUAACAAAGACAAGCUAAAGAGUCGAUGAAGAUAAUUGGAGAAACCCCAUCAAUUCGUGUAGUUCGACAAAUAAGCUCGAAGUGAAUAAAUUGGAGAUACUAUAAGAAAACUGAUGUUUAGAUUUUGUUUUUCAUUUCUGUUAUUUGCCUCUAUGUUUUAAUAAGAGCAUCUCAACUUUUUCUUCUUCUUCUAUUACUGCUAUUCUUUUCAAAUUGAAAACAGGAGACAACAUAAUAAAGUUCUCUUUCAGAGUUGUACAUUCAAUUUAAUUUUUUUUUUCUAGGACAGAUUUGCAAAUACUUGUUUUUAGCUAGAAAUGCUGUAGUGGCUGUUUCCCUGCUUUUCUGGUUGAAUAUUAAAACAAAUAAAUAAAUAGCUUGUAGAAAUGUUAUGUUAUGAACUGAUUGUAGUGUGUUGCCAAAUAACAGCUCUUGCUGGAAAUUAUGUCAACUUUGGGGUGUUUGAGCUAUAUGGUGAUAGAGCUCUUUCUGAUGCACUUGAUAUCGCACUGAAGAUGACAUUAUCAAUUCCUUUGGCUGAUAUAUUGGCAUUCCGUAAGGUACAUGAACUUUUGUUGCAAGUCUUCUUUUGACAUCUUUUAGUUUUGAAUACCUGGUUGGAUUUAUUUUAACUAGAAUCAUAUGAUUUUGAAUGUCUGCUUGUUUUUGUGCAUACUCCAUCUUCUAAGUUUGAUUUUGUGGGUACUACUUGUUUUGUGUGUGUGUGUGUGUGUGGUGCAGAAUAUGAGAUUCUAGUUAAUAAGGAAAUUAUGAGGAAUUGGAAUUUGUUGCUAAUCAUUCAAAGUGGACCAACUUAGUAUUUUUUAAUGAAUAGUUAGUAUUUAAUACUACUUUAAAUGAUUGUAAAUGAAGUUGGAACGUGCUUGAACUUCAGCCAAAUUAGGUGUUUCAGUCAUUCUGACACCAAAACCCAGUAUAGGGUAUAUCCUUCCACCAUUUUGUUGAAAUUACAUCGACACCUAGUUUUUUAUGCUGGAAAUUGUGGAAGAAAGCCUCAGAGUCCAUCAAAUUUCAGUGGAAAUUUUGGAGGCUAAUUUAAAUUAUAAUAACAAUGGCGGGAAAGUAGAAAUAGAUGUGCCAUGCAAUCCCUCGAUCUCCUAAACAAAUACCUUGGAAAUAAUCUUGUACAGGCUGGUCACAAGACUCUGCAACACCUCCACAAGUCACCCUCAGCCAUUUCGCAACAAUUAUCUUCACAGAAUAUGAAUAUGCUACAGUCUUGAAUUAUUAUGUAUUUCAUAUAGGUUGUAGGGUUAACGACAGUUUCUGGAACAAACUAUAAAUUAAGAAUUAAUAAAACAUAAGAAACGAAAAAAAUAGUUCCUUCUAUUUGUCCAAAGAAAAAAUGGGAAAUGAGAAAAUGCUGUUGUUUGAAAAGCAUGGUUCUGAACUUCUAGUCCUUGCUGAAAAUUUUAUCACGUGAAUGCUUUUUUUAUACUUUAAACAUGCCAGGCUCUUUAGUUUUCUUUUGCAUUGAGUUUUUUGUCUUGCCUGAAAUUUGUAGGAAGAUUUUUAUUUAGAUUUUCUUCUAUGUGCAGCUGACAAGGGCCUACUUUGCAUUCUUGGAGGUUUUAUUCAACAGCCAUAUAGUUUAUAUACUGAAUCUGGAUACCACUACUUUUAUGCAUAUAGUUGGAUCCCUUGAAUCUGGGCUUAAAGGUCUAGAUACAAGUAUUUCAUCACAGGUACGUGUUCUGCCAACUUCUAUGGGCGGAGGAACUCUUCUAUCAUUAUCUGCAUGUCUCAAAUUUUUGACUCCAAUUGUUGUCAGAAAAUAACUUAUUAGUGAACAUUUUUUGCAAUUUUUUCUUAGUUUUUGUUCAGAACUAGAAGAUCGGUCAUAGAAAAAUGUGUCCAAGUGAAAAGUAAACUAGUCUGAAAUGUAGAAAAUAACUUUUGCUUCUCAAGGGCACAAGUCUGGUUUUGGAAUAAGAUUAAACGUUCCAUUGCCACCAGUUCUACUCCCUCAAGUCCGAUUUCUUGCCUAACCCUUGGCAGUCUUUGGCAACUUUCAACAGGUUACCAGCCAGUCAGUGGCAAUGCCUCAGAUGAUCAAUGGCUAGUGACUGCUAAUACCCGUGUUAACCCCCAACCAGCCAACACUGUAGUAGUAGAAAUCUGGGUAUUGGAACCGAAAUAGAAUAGUAAUUUUAAUUUGGAAAACAAAUGUCAAAAUUACUAAAAAAAUUCAUUCCACCAAAUAAAGUUUCUGGCAAGCAAUUGUUGUCCCAAAAAAAAAAAAAAGGAAUCUCAAGUAGAAAUGUGCUUAUACGAACUGACCAGUUACUUUUCUUCAUCCGCGAUCAUAUUUUUCAUUAUUUUCAUUAUUCAAUCCUAAAAUUUACCUUUUGCGCUAGUGUGCAUCUGCUGUUGAUAAUUUGGCUGCUUUCUACUUCAACAACAUCACCAUGGGUGAGGCGCCCACAUUACCUACUGCGGUCAAUCUUGCUCGUCACAUUUCAGACUGCCCCAAUUUGUUUCCAGAAGUAAGUGGGGAUCUGUACGUUGUUGCUCUAAUUUCUGGGUUAUAUUACGCUUUGUGCUUAGUUAAGAGGAUAUGCAUUUCUUUUGGCAUUGAGCUCCAAUAUUUAAGUGUUUGCCCUUGUCUCACAUAAUAACUUGAGGAAAUGCGUAAAUACAAUUGACUUGUAUACAUAUGUUUUGCAUUUUUUUAGUUCAAUUAGUCCCAUGUCUGGAUGUCUGUGAAUCAAGUGUUUGUGUGCCUCACUGUUAAGAGGACGAGGUCUAGAUGUAUAUAUGCUCUUGUGGACUUUGGGUUGGGUUUUGUUUGGGAAUUAGGUGGUUAUAGUUUGGUAUUCAGAAUGGAAAACUUUUUUUUUUCUUCUUGUUACAGAGCUGAAUAGAAUCUUGAAAGUUGAAAGUCUGUAAUUUACAAUAUUGAAAAAAGUUUGGUAUUCAGAAUAGCAUUUUGUGUGAAUUAUGUGCUGUCAAUGAUGAUUAUAAUUUUUGGUCUCGUGUCAAACUUCUGCAUGAAAUCACUUGCAUACCCAUGUAUAUGAAGUGAAUUGAAUACGCUCACUCUUUCUUUAGGUUUCCAAACUUUGAUGACUUUUAUUGUUUUGUUCCUCCAUGAUUACUCAAUUUCUUAGGUUUUAUUAAUAAUCUGAUUGUUUUUUUCUUUUAUAUGUAAAGAUACUGAAGACGCUAUUUGAGAUUGUUUUAUUCGAGGACUGUGGCAACCAGUGGAGUCUCAGCAGACCAAUGCUCAGCUUGAUACUUAUUAGUGAGCAGGUGAUACUUUUACUUGAGUGCAUGUGUGACUUUUAAUUUUCAUAUUUUACCAUGUUCAAAACUUUUAGCCACACACACACAACACGUGCGUGCAACAUCAGUUUCUUAAAUGCCCCUUAUUGGUCGGUUCAUUCUACCAUCAUCUGAACACUAUUCAAUUUUCUUCUCUCUGUGUGUCUGUGUGUGUGUGUUUUUGUGAUACUUUUAUUUGAGCGCAUGUGUGGCUUUUUACUUUCAUAUUUUGCCCUCUCAAAUCUAUAGCCACAAACACAACAGGAAUGCGUGCAACAUUGUUUCUUAAAUGCCCCUUAUUAAUCAGUUCAUCCUAUCUUCAUCUGAUACACUUUUCAAUUUCCUGUUCUGUGUGAUACUUUUAUUCGAGUGCAUGUGUGGCCUUUUACUUUCGUAGUUUACCUUGUUCAAAUCUUUAGCCACAGAAACAACACGUAAUGUGCAACUUCGGCUUCUUAAAUGCCCCUUAUCAAUGGGUUCAUUCUACCUUCAUCUGAUACACUAUUCAAUUUCGUGCUGUGUGUGCGUAUGUGCUUCUACUUUUCUUCUGCCAAUUGAAAAGAAUGUUUUCUUUUCUCUAUUCAGCUUUUAGUACAUUUCUUGGAAACAGAGCAGAUCUCUCUCUCUCUCUCUCUCUUAACUGUUAAUCUGGAAGGAUCUGCCUAUUAUGUAUAGUACUCUCCUCCACUGUGCAUUUGAUAAUGUAAGAACAUAUUCAAAUGUUGUACGUUUGCCUUGUGUCUUAACAGUAUUUGUACAGUAUUUAUAGUCUUUAACCUUUCUCUGUUCUCAUGGCCUUCCUGACCAACAAAAGGAUGCUCUUCCUUUGCGUUUCCAUAGAGAAGUUGCAUGUUUGAAUUCAGUUCCUUUUAUGUUUUUGUUCAACUUAUUUUGGUGGGCCAACUUUGUUAAUUCUUCUUGUAUCAGCAUGGCCAAAUUAACUGAAACCCCAAACUGCUUGGGUUGUCUUUGAUAAAGUUUUUAAGUUUUGUUUUUCAUGAGAGAGAAAGAGAGGAAGAAAGAGAAAGAAGCGAGGAAGAGUGAUGGGAGAAUAGAUAGAAAGAAAACCAAAAACCAAAAACCAAAAACCAAAAACUUCACCGAAAGGGAUUUGGAUUGAUGGUCCCAACCUUUUCACUUAUCCUAUGUUACUUUAUAUUUUACUGAAAGAUGGUCUUUAACUUGCAGAUGUUCUCUGAUUUGAAAGUUCGGAUCUUGGCUUCACAGGUUAGUUGUGCCUUACACUAUUUUAAAGUGUUUGAGUAACAAUGAAUUUAAAAUUGAAAUAUAUAUUUUUUCGAACAAAAAAAAGUGCUAUAUCACAGCCAAAUCAUCUUUUCAAGUCUUGUACGUGUAUUUUAGUGAUAGGGAGAGAAAGAUGUGAUGUUGCAGACUGUAUUUGGAAGAUUGAUCAGUUUAACUUCUUCGUGAAUGUGUUUUCACAGUCUAGCAACACAAGCAUUUGUCAUGCGAUAUAAAUAUGACAAGAGAUAGUAUUCUAGAACCCUAUGUAUCUCUUCAAAUUAUUGUCACCUGUACAUGACUCUUUUUGCAUUGACCUGCAGCCAGCGGAUCAACAUCAGCGGCUUUCACAGUGUUUUGACAAGCUUAUGGCAGAUGUUACCAGAAGCUUGGAUUCAAAGAACAGGGACAAGUUUACCCAAAACCUGACAGUAUUCAGGCAUGAGUUUCGUGUGAAGUAACUCUAGUAUUCCAGAACAUGAAUUGUACGUGCUGAAGAUGUUAGAAGAAUAUUUUGCUGCAUACUUCUAGUCGUAAACGUGGAGUCUCUGGUAUUGGGAGAAGGGCUUUCUCUAGUUAGAAAUAGAAUCUCUGGUAGUGAGAGAAAGGGAAGCACAUUUUUUGAAGUUCAUGGGUUGGUGGAACUGGAAGGGGCAUUACAAAUUUUCUUGUGGUGGCCGUAUGGGUAUCACUAUAAGGUUUGCCGUACUGGUGGUUUGUAGAAGAUAGUGGUGGGUUUGACAUGUAGUUUAAAAUGGCCAGUUCUAAUAUUAGUAAAUCAAUUCUUUUGAAAAAGAAAAAAGCCAAAAAAAAAAAAAAUGGUGUACAUCUCCUCAAGUUUAUGUUUAGGGAUGGAUCAGUUGUAAGCCUGUACAUUAACCUUUACAUAUUCUUUGUAUUUGUUGAUAAUAGGAAAGAAAGGAAAAAGAUUUAAAUGUUUGUUCUAGUCUCUUGGGCUUCUCUUUUCUUGGCUCUUUUUGGUUUCACCUGGAAUUCCUACCUAGAAUUAGAAGGGGGGUUUUGCAGGCCAGACAUCAAGCACAUUUGACAAUUUUGUCUGCACCAAGAGUUGAUUCUAAUAUCAUCUAAAACUUUUAAAUGUUCUAUUUCCCCUGUUUUUCUUUCUGUUCUUAAAUUCUGAAAGCGGAAAGGGCAAAAGCCGAACUUUGAUUAUCGGUGUAGAGGUAAAUGCUCUGGAAGGCAGCUAAGGCUCUUUAAUUUCUCGUGUUUAACUUAAAUUACGUUGACAUAUGAACUUCGAUUAAAUGGCCGUUUGAAAUCAACUCAGGUUGAUUGAUAUUCAAUUCAUUCGGGAUUUUCUAGAACUGGAACGUUUUCUAUAAUUUGUCUUCUAACCUUGCCAUGAUUUAGCAAUUGUUUCAUGUUCUUCGACGUAUAAUCCAAGAAGCAUAAAAGUAACAAGUUAAGCAACAGUUUAUUGUAUGUGUAUUAUUUACCUAGAAACAUAAUUUAUGGUGAAUAAAAGCUAAGAAAAGGAGUGUCAUUCAACGGAAGAGUGCCAAGAGCUCAUACAUAAUACCAAUUGUUCAGAUCCUCACGGGUGGAACUUGCUUUUAAAAACCAGCUUUGUUCAAGAACUCUUAAACAAUUAUUAGAUAAGGCUUUAUAAAAAUAAAAUAAAAAAUCUUGAGUUCUAACAGUUAAGGAGGUGUGAGAGAGGCUUGAUCCGAGUCUGACUGCGUGUGUUUUAACCAAUCAGUCUUUCACUUGGAAGGCGUUCAAGCAAACUAUGAUGAUGAGGGUUUAGGGUAAACUCAUGCGAAACUCAUGCAUCUUUAUAUUUUAGCACGCAUGCCUAAACAAGAGAGUUUAGGCGUUCAAGUAACUUCUGCCAUAAGCUUGUCGUCAUAGUUUGAAAAAUAUUAUCUUACAACAUCCGAGGAGCUAUCAAAGAAGGAACAUGAUUAAACCAAACAAAAAGAUAAGGAAAUUGAUGACCAUAAGUAGCAAAAGCAUCAGCGGCCACCAUAUUGCUCAAGAAGACUUCUUGGACAUACGAAACUCAAAGAGAACAUGUAACCCAUUUGUUUUGACCAAAAUACCCUUCAAACAGUGGUCAUGCACCACCUCUUUUGUCUACUUUUAUAAUGGGGUUAUUAUUGCAAGUGUCCUAUUAGGGUAGUGGUUUAGGAAAAAAAAGAAAUUUCUUGCGCGAAUAUGGUGGCCGCUGAUGCUUUUGCUACUUAUGGUCAUGUGCGAGUUUAGUGAAUUUUGACCCUUUUCAAAAAAAAAAAAAGAGAGGCCCCAAAAAAAAUAAAAAAUAAUGAGGUUACUAUUUCCAGAAAAGAAAAAGAAAACUAAAGUUAUGAGACCAAAAUGUAAAAUCCCAAAAGUAUGGAGGUAAACUUGUAAUUGACCCAAAAGGAAAAAAAAUAAAAAUAAAAAUAACCCACCUACUUUUGGCCUGAUGUGGGGUGGUGGUCCCGCUUAUGGGGUCAAAUCAAUACGUUUUAAGAAGAAAUAUUUGAAUAUCAAUCUCAUCGAUAUCAUAAGCAUCAUACCAAAUCCCAUCAAUCGAAUCGCUUUUGCGAGAAAUACGAGACAUCUAAGUCUUGGGAUUGUAGUUCAAAUGGUCAGAGCACCGCCCUGUCAAGGCGGAAGCUGCGGGUUCGAGCCCCGAACACUGACACUGAGCUCGACCAAUCCAAACCUUAACCCUAACCCUAAUUCUUCAAACCCGUUAGUCCCCGCCUGCUCCAAUGGCCCUGCUGUCUGCCUUCUCAAGGUUGCCGGAGACUCCACUGGCAGGGCAUUCAUGGGCUCCAUUUUUAGCUACUCUCUCUCUCUCUCUCUCUCUCUCUAGAUAUAUAUAUAUAUAUGUAUGUAUACAUGCUUAUGGAGUGCUAUGCUUUAAUUGCUUAAUUGUGGUGUUUCUAUAUGGGAAUUUGAGUGGUGCUGAUAUAGAAUUUUGAGUGUUUGACAAAAUAUGAUUUUCGUUUAUAGUGUUUUGUAUUUUUCAGUUUGUAUCAUGUGGGUUUCUGUUAAAUAUUGAUAUAGUGAUUCUUAAUAUGCUUUCGGAUAUGUUUUGUACUGAAAUUCUUUAUAUGAAAUGUAUGAAUUUUGAAUUCAAAAUUGUUGCAUUUGCCUUAUCAAAACCUGAUAUGGAUGCAAAUAGGUGUUAUUGUGAUUGAUUUUGUUAUAUAUGUUUGUGAGUAUUGUUUGUUGUGGGUUCCAAAAUUUAAAAAAGUGCUAUGAUUUUGUUAUAUCAGCCCCGAUCUCCAAGAGACUAUGGUCACCCACCGUUGGAUGUAACAUCCAACAGUUCAAAAAAAAUUUCUUAAAAGGAGUGCAAGAGUGAGUAAACCGUUGAAUUUACAUUCAACGGUGAGUGACCACAAAUCUCUUGGACCCCUGUAGUCCAAGAGAUCGGGACUGUUUGUUAUAUAUGUGUUCGUUUGGUUUUUGGAAAUUUUGACUUGGCUGCCUUGAUUUAGUUUGAUUGUGUUGGUUUUCUUUUGGUAUGCAAGCAUACUUGAAAAUCUGUAACCUUUUUAGUAUCCUUCAACUCAGUCUCUGCAGCAUAAACCCAUAAAUAAGCAUAUAUCUUGUAGAUGACUACACAGUCGGAGCCUUUUCUUAUUUUUGUGGCAUUAGAUCAGCCUGUGAAUGUUGUAGCACUAGAAUAUCAGAUAGUUUAAUUCAAUUGGAAGAUUCUAUCAGCCUUAAACAUUAGUCUUGUGUUUAUUUUUGUAUUUUAAUAUAAUUGAAAAUCUGGCCAACAUCUCAUGAGGUAGGAAUUCUAAUUUCCUACAAUUGUUUAUAUUAAGUGAUGUCAACGUAGUGGGUAGGCCAUCUUUAGGAAACGACGACAGCGUUGGAUAAUUCGAAAGAGUCAAACUUUGAAGACGAUUGUAGUAGGACAAGCACUGUACGUCAACAACAUUUUCAAUCUCAAGUCGGGACAGGAGCUUUGUCUCUAAUAAUGAUAACAGAGCUUUGUCUUCUAUUUUCAAUUCUUCAAGAGAUUUAUAGUUAAGACUAUUGGUAGUUGUGGUAGUGGCCAUUCCAUCAUGCAAAACCUCACACCGAGACACCAUAAGCUUCUUUAACCAAGGCAGCUCACAAGGCAAACUUCCUCUCAGUUUCGGACAAUUGUUUAGAAUCAGUUCCUGGAGACGAGGAAAGUCUGGACCAUAUUCACCUCCACUUGCACUUCCACUUGGUACCCAUUCCUCCCACUCUGGCAUCUCCCUAAACUUCAGCUUCUCCAGAGAUUGAAAUGGCUGAGUCAGAUAAGCUCCAUUUCUACCAUAGAAUUCAACGCCAAUCGUCUUCACAAACUUCAUUCUUUCUAUACAGAGCUCUUUGAGUGCCGGUAGCCGCCCAACUGGUGGGAGCGACCAACAAUAACUACAGUCACUGAGAUGCACGACUUGUAUGUUAGAAAAAGACAAGUCUCCUAACCAAUUCGGAAAAUUAGUUCCACCAUAGAAUCUGAUGGUUAAUUUCUCCAAAUUCACACAAGGCUGGAGCUUGUCGAGUACAUCUUUCUCCUUUUGGGAAUCAUUAGCAUCCUCUGCACCCCAUGAAAACUCUAACUCCUUGAGAUCUUUCUUGUGCUUCAUAUUGGCUUGCAAUGCAUCCCUCGCAUCAACUACAUUUUGUAGCUUCAAAAUUGAUAGUUUUCCGCGAAGCUGCGGAACUCCCUCAGUUCUCUUAUGCCUGACCCAGUAGAUUUGCCCACAACAAACGCAGUCAAUGUUCUCAAACUUUUCAGUCUACCCAUUUGCACCGGCAUCUCUUCAAUUUUAGUUCCACUGACAUCAAGGUGAUGCAAAUUAAUCAACUCCUUCAUGCCUGCAGGCAAUUUAAUAAGAGAACUACAACCUCCCAACGUCAAUUUUUGUAAAUUAAUCAAUUUUCUAAUGUCUGCAGGCAAUUCAAAGAGAGAGUAACAAUUUGACAAUAGUAAUGUUUGCAAGUUGUAGAGAUUGCAAACUAGCCUCGGUAACCUUUCAAUUGCGGUAUGGGAAAGAUCCAAGUAGCGCAAGUGAAUGAGGUUUGCAAUGCAAUCAGGUAACUCAGUCACAUUUUGAUAAUGUGACAAUGAUAACACCCGCAAACAUCUUAGUGAUGGCAACAAAUCUUGUAGAACUUUUUUACUUACAAAAAAUCUUUCAUGUCUAUAUGGAUUUAAAGAGGUAGGUAGGAAGGUCCGCAAACAUGUAGCCUCAUAUAAUGGUUCAAAUCUUGGAGCAGCAUCAAAUUUUCCCCUAGCAUAUGACAAAUGACGAGCUCUUUUAACUUCAAGAGAUACCCCACCUUCGAGCCUAAGGCAAAACCCCUGAGACAUGAACAUAGCCAAGUCAUUAAUGAGAUCAUGCAUAAUGAAGCUGAAUUUCCUUGACUUUUGAAACAACGAUCGUGAUAAUAAUUCAUCAAAGUAUCUUCUAGCCAAUGCUUCCAUCCUUUUUCCAUUCUCAGCUUGUGGAAUUAUACCUUCUGCAAUCCAUAAUUGAACUAUAUCUUCCUUUUCAAACUCAAAAUCCUUAGGAAAAAUUGAACAAUAAGCAAAGCAUCGUUUUAACUGAGCAGGAAGAUAAUGGUAACUCAACCCUAGAGCUGGAAGAAUGUUAGUUGUAUCAUAGGGUUGGUCCCAAAAAUUGUCAUUUAGUAUUCUACUCCAAUACUCGAAAUCUAUAUUGCAACGUAACAAACCCCCAAGUGUUUGUGCAGCUAAAGGCAACCCUUUGCACUUGAGUGCAAUUUGCUUUCCAAUGUCUUCCAAGUUUGGAUGUGCACUACAGUUUUCAUUUCCAAAUGCAUGUUUUGAAAGUAACAACCAGCAGUCCUCAUGUGACAGUGGUUCCAAGUAUUGAAUAGGAACAUUUUGCAUGACGGAUGCUAUAUUUUUGUUCCGUGUUGUUAUGAUGACUUUACUUCCCCUUGCUCCUGACAUAAAAGGAGUUUGGAGGAACUUCAAAUCAGUAUAAUCCUCAUUCCAUAGGUCAUCCAAUACAAAUAGAAAUUUCCUUCCCCUCAGUUGUUCUCUUAGUUCAACUUGAAGCAAAUUCAAAUCUAUCGUAUUACAAGGCUUUGAAGUGACUGACUCAAGAAGAGUUUUAGUUAUCCUAAUAGCAUCAUAAUCUUCUGAAACACAAGCCCAAGCUUGAAAUGUAAAAUGACCUUUCACCUUCUUGUCAUUGUAAAGCAAUCGGGCAAUGGUUGUCUUGCCAACCCCGCCCAUUCCAACAAUGGUGAGGACAGACACAUCAUCCUUGCUUGCAUCAUCAGAUAGCAACACUUUUGAUAAAUUUUCUUUGACUUCAUCUCUACCAUAGACACAAGGUUCAUGAACCAAGGAAGUUGUUGGUGUUCUUUGUGAAACCUUCCGCCCAGCAUCUUCUCUCAGACCUAGAGCACUUUUCAGUUGUACGAAAUUUUCUAACCUUGCUAGUAACUCGUGUAUCUUAUCAUUCAUGCUCUGAUAAAAAUGAUUACGAGAAGAAAGAGCAAGUUCCGCACCUUGUUGGUAAAUUUUCCGGUUUGAUCUUCACCUUCGAACUUGCAUCGUAAAGCUUCCGUGUCGAUCUCAUCCAGUAAGUCUUCUGCAUCAAAGACAGCAUGUUUGAGCUCGUCGAGCCAAUCCCUCACAGCAGGUUUCCUAAUUUGCUUCUCCUCUGCGUCAUCGAGAACUGCAUAUAAGGUCAACUCAACAGUGUCGUCUUCAGCUUCAUGAGGAGUGGCUGAUCGAGUUUCUUGUGCCGAAAUAAGUCAACGAACUCGGGUGAAGUAAUUCUGUUGCACAACACCUGGACGGAAGCAGAGAUAAAAGCCUCUCCGAUCAAAGCCAUGUCUUUUAUCUUCUCUGCAGACUGCAAGGGAUUUGGAUGAAGCUAGGCUAGCACAACUUGGAAAUACAGGUUUGUAAACAAGUAUGGAAGCUUUUUAAGAGUGUAGAUAACAUGAACUUGUAAUCUUGCCUUGGUAAACCCCUCUUUCAAGUACUGUUCCUUCUUUUUCUGUGGCUGAAAACUUUUCUACGGCCUCGCAUGGGGAUGGGUUCGGCAAAGUUGGACGCAAAAGCUUUUGAGAAGUUGUUGGUGGACUUCUUCAAAUUACUCGUAUGGGGUGGGUGGGAGCCACACUGACAACUGUGUUUGAAAAACAGAAAAUUAAAAACUAAAAAGGCAGCAUACUUAUUGCUUGUGGGCUUGUAAUUGUAUAUAUUUUCUUCAGAACUUAACUAUGGUACACAUCCCACCACAGCCUUUGUUGUGGUUUCGCCCUUAACCUUUGCUUCUCCUUGCAAUAGCCCUGUUUGAACGACCAGAGAGUUGCAGUUGAAGUUUCAUACUAGAGUUGACGACCCCUGUCUGAAAUGGCUUGCUAAGGGUUUCAGUUCAAAUUGCCCAAAACCCAACCAACCAAUCGACACAAUGGAGGACCUCGCAAAUGCAUUCUCUGUGCUGGAGCUUGACGCUGAAGACGACGAUCAAGCGCGAGAGGCCUCUUCUGUUUCCAAAAACAAAGAUGACACUACAAAAUCUUCAGGUUAAUUUGUUUCCAUAGUUACUGUAAGUGCCAGGGUUAGGGUUUAGCUUUAGGCAUUUCUGAAAGUCAUUGCUUAUCUGAAAUGCUAGCUUAUGCUAAAUGCAACUCCUUUUCUCUAUCUUCUGAGAGUUGCUUUUGAUUAUUCGGUCCCAAAAUUGUGAACAAGUUGGAGAAAAGCUUUAACGCUUUUUUUAGUUUUCUGGAUUGGUUGUAUAUAAGAUUAAGCUUUCUGAACUUACUGGUUACUAGUGAAGCUUCCCGAACUUAUUUGGCUGUGUAUUUCUAGGGGUAUUGAUUGAUCCGAUUAGGAAGGAUUUCUAGGCCUACGGAUUGAGCUCAGCUAAUUUCUGGGGGCCCCUAGAAAUUUGUAUUGACUUUUAUACUUUUUAUUUAUGUUAUUUAUUUAUUUAUAUUCAUGGAUGUUAUAUACUUACAUAUACAACUCAAUUGAAGAUGUCCCAAAGCCAACAAAGUUCUUAUUUAUAUUCAUGGAGGUUUUGUUUUGUAUUGUUUGACGGUAGUGUUGUACAGUGGAUAUCUUGUCCACUGCAUCUUUUAUUUUCAUUUAGCUGUAGUAAAAGUUUGUUUCUCACGAUUAAAAUUCAUAAUUUUUUCUUAAUAUUUUCCUUAAAUGGAAGCCAUGUUCAUGAUAGACUAUAAACUGGGUAUUUAUUUAACCAUAUAUGGUUUACUCUAGGUGAACUAUUGGUUGGUAAUCUAGCUGGAGUGAUUGCAGUAUAUUAAUAUCUUCAUAGUAAUGAUUUAUCUUUGAGACAGGCAAGAAGACGGAGAAGAAAGUCAACAACUCUGAUAACAUUUUGCUAGUAAAAGAGAAAGAGAGUCAGCAAAAGCCUCUAGAAAAGUACAAGUUGCCCCUGGUUUGGAUUGACUUGGAAAUGACUGGUGAGGAUAAUAUUGGUUGGUCAGAAUAUAACAAUGUCUAACUAAAUAACAAUGAUAAUUCAUUUGCCACUCUUUGGAGAUAAACUCUAUGGAAAUUAUUUAUACAGAGUAAAUACAUGUUACAGGACAGAAAUUGAUUGUUGUUAAUGCCCAUGGAAAGGCAUCUCUUAGUGUCUUUCCAUGUUCUCCUCUAAUCUUCUCCCAUCUCUAUAGAAUCUCUUUGCCACAUAACACUGCUAGUGUGUUUUUUUUCCCUGUUCCAUCUUUCCAUGGUUGAGAUAUCCGGACGUUGUAAAGCUUUCUCCCUGUGCUUCUUGAUUGAGAACAUCAUUGUCAGUCUAGACUUGGCAGAACGCCUUGGUGUCUUGAGUCAUAGGUAUUCUCUCUGUAAGUCCUUUUCAAUACAUUGAUAAUCAAUCACACCGUUCCAAUGUUUAGUCCAUCCCUUAUUAUUUGGAAGACCAAAGUUACUGGUCAUGGUUGAAUAAAUACUUAUGAGGUCCUUAAGGGCCAUAUUUUCAUUUAUCCCCUCACUGGUUUACUAGGUGGAAAGGGGUUGCAGAGAGCAUUGAUCAUCUCUUUCUUCAUUGUCCAGUGGCUUUGAGAUUGACUUGGAUGCUCCCCUUCUCAUGUAAUGCCUUAUUUGUGGUGCUCCCAACAUGUGGUGUGUGUUAGUCAUAAUUUUGGCGAUAUGGACUGAGAGGAGCAACUUAAUAUUUAGGGGAAGGAUGGGGAGUCUGUCUAUUGCCUAUGGGAUAAGGCUAGAUUAAUGGCUUUGCUUUGGGCACCAGUUUCUGUUGCAUUCUUUGACUGCCCCUUCUUUCUUCUAAAUAUUUGGAUUGGAUUCUGCUGUUUCGUAGGUUUUCUGAUUGUAGUUGACUGGUUCUUGUUCUGUUUUGUUUGGAUAGGAGUCGUUUUGACUGUUUUUCAUGCUAAGGAUGUUCGGCCUAGAUUGAGAGUUGUUUAUUUGUGGACUAGUAGUCGACUAUGAUUGUAGUUUUCAGAUUUUUUUACUUAUUACUAUACUCAUUCUGUUUCCUAUCUGAAAACGAAAAUAAUGAGGCACAUAGAAUAUGUAAUGCUAGACCUGUACUUAAAUCAAAGUUAACAUAUUCUUAUGUUGUCUGUUUAGACCAAUUAAUAAUUUCUAUGGUAAAUUUUCCCUAAAAUGUGAUGACAUGAAGAUUUUCAAAUUUAUCUUCUCUUUUACUUCUGUCAUGCAGGUUUAAAUGUUGAAGUUGAUCGGAUACUAGAGAUUGCCUGUAUAAUUACUGAUGGAAAAUUAACCAAAUCAGUAGAGGUAUUUUCUCAAUAUCAGAUUUGCGUAAAUUUUUUUAUUUUAUUUUAGGGUUAUAUUGUCUCUAUGCCUCUGUUUCUGUUUUUCCAUUUUCAUAUUUUGCAAGUGUUGUUAAUUACGUCAUAUAUCAACACCAUUAAAUCUUCUCAUUUAUCUUUCCAUUUUUAAAAUUCUGCAACUGCAGUUGUUAACUACUUUAUUGAUCAUCACCAUUUAGUCUUCUCAUUUAUUUGUAUCUUUGUCACUGAUUGCUAUUUAAAAGAUUGUAAUUUUAAAGGAGUGAACUUCAGUAAAUGGUAUCAUUUUCAAUAUUUUAUCUUUUCUUAUUAAUAAUUAUCUUUUUAGCACACAUAAUUUUGUUUGUUCCAUAUAUGUUUUAUUGACUUUAUCCACCGACAGAAGUUAUACGUUCUUUCAUUUUCUGCCCUGUGGAAAGAUUUAAUGAAAUCUUGUGUUCACAUGUAAAUCCUGUCAGUGAAACAUCAUAUAUUGGGACAUAUUCUGAGAUUUUGUGAAAGAAUCUUUUCAAAUUCUCGCUGUAGCCCCACACCCGACAACAAGUUUCAGAAGAUCAAAAUAUCUCAGAUGGGUUCAUUACUAGGUUUCAAAAGGGCAGGUUUGAGUUUUGACAAUCCUAAAAGAAGCUUCAGGACUGAUAUUCACUAGCAUCUUAACUAUGAUGAGAACACUCCAGGGCUUCUUCAUUCUCCCAUUUUCUUCCUUAAGAGACUGGAAAUGGGUCGUCUUCAUCAAAUCUGUUCCUGUCAUCAUAUUUCUAGUGGAGGGGUACCAUUACCUCCCUCAGGGAUCCACCCACUCAUUGAACCAAAUUCAUGCUGGAUCAUUAUUUGAUAGCUUUGUCUUCGUAAGCUGCCAUUUGAGCCUUCUUCUUGGUUCUAUUAUCAUCCUGUGGAAUAUUCAUAGACAUGGUUGCUGUAAUUAAUAAGCUGACAGGAUACAGGGCAUAAAAAAGAUAAUAGGUGUAAACUAGGACCUGUUUUUUAACUUACCAAGAUAGCAUAUGACUGUUCAACUUUUUCAGUGUCUUUUUCCCCAACUCUUGUUUAACUCAAAUUGUUGUUUUUGGGAUUGUAAAGGCUACAUCCUUUAAAUUCGAAGAUGUUAAACAGAACACCUGACUGAGUUAAGGAUGUUUAUUUAUGUGAAUUAAAUGAGAUGUUAUCCUUUUCCUUUAUUCCUAUUCUUAUUUUAUUUUGGUUCACUUGUUUAUUUUAUUUUAUUUUAAUCAUUUGUGCUCAAUUUCAAAAUGCAUCUUGAUUCCCUAACUAGUAUUGGCCGAUGGUUUCCUUAUCUUUUUUUGAAAUUUAUUUUAAUUUAAAAAAAAUUAAAAAAAAACUCCUUUUUCCCUUUUAUCUUUCAGGGCCCUGAUUUGGUUAUUCAUCAAACUAAGGAGUGUUUAGAUAGGAUGGGCGAAUGGUGUCGAAGUCAUCAUAAAGCUAGUGGUAAGCAGGGUGUUAUAAACCACCGUCCAACAUUGUACACCUCUUAGUAACAUUAUGUAUGCAGAUACAUUCUAUUUAGCUCCAUGCAUCAUAACAUAGGCAUGAAUGUAUUAUCAUUUUAACAUAUGGUGUACGAUUUCACGACUAACAAACUUUAUUAAAUUUAGGGUUGACAAAAAAGAUGCUGGAAAGUACAAUCAGUGAAAGAGAAGCUGAAAAGCAGGUGUGUAAGAACUCUUUUUAGAAAUAAGCUUUUGUUUGUUGUUUUUGCUUCUAGCAUAUGCACAUUUCUGAACCGUGUGACCAUUUAAGCAACACCACUAAAUUUUGAUAAAGAUGUUUUGUAAUUUCUGGAGUGUUGCUGGCCUUUCUGUAAUACUUCCUUUCUAUGACUCUGCUACUCUUGAAGUCGACUUUUGGUAUUCCAAAACAGCUUCAAUAACCUCAUCAUUAAAUUUUCUCCUUUUCCUAAGCAACCCUUGGUAUUUCUACACAACCUUUAUUACUUUAUUACAGAAUCUGAGUGGCUCUUUAAGUAUGACCGACUCUUAUAACUAGACCCCGGAAAAAGUGGAAGUUAAUAAUUAUCUACAUCAGGAUGUAAUUAAGAAUAUAAUGCACUCAUGGAACUUUAGUUUUGGUUCAUAUCAUUAAUAAUUAUUCUAUCCUUGGAUAAUAGUCUGGUUUUUUUUCUAAUUAACAUGCACGUGAUUCUAAUAACAUGUGUUUAAUUAUAGGAUUGAAUAUAUAAGAUAAUCUUUUCCAUGGAAUUACCUGGAACCUUUGGACAUCCCCUCGUGCAGAGAAGAGACUUUGGUACCCAUUGUGCUUUUCCUUAGUUGUUUUUGAAUAAGAAUUAUUCAACCAAUUUGUGAUGAACAACUGAGAUUAUUUAUUUGUACAUAUAUACUACUUAUUCAGUAAUCAUCCUCUUUUUACUUCAAUUGUGACCUUUAGCUACACUCUAGUUAUAUACGUUAUUGAUAUUCCAGUUGAGUACUUUUUCUUUAUAUUUCUGUGUAAACAAGUGUAUGUUUCAAUACUGCAGGUCAUAGAAUUUGUAACGAGAAUCGUAGGAACAUAUACACCUCAGUUAGCAGGCAAUUCAGUUUAUGUGGAUUUUGCAUUUUUAAAGGUAAUGUGAAUCACCUUUCCUGGAUUUUAUUUAUAAUUAACACAAUUUGAAGUGUUUGGUUAUUAAUAAAACAUUGCUAUAUGGAAGUCUCGUCUUUCAUUCAAAUGAGACGUGCCUAUAUAUUUUGUAAGCUAAUGAGCAUGCAAGGAAAUACCACACUACGCAGCAGAUCUGUUAUGUCCAUUUUUCACUUAUUUAGCUGUUUUUUUUCUGUUAUGUCUGAAGUUGAAAGCUUUUCAUGCCACUAUUGUAACUUGAAAUCUAGAAAGGGCAAAUCAUGAGGGCAGGGGAGCUUCGAGAAGGGUUUUUGAAGGAGAGAAUAAGAUGAAUCAAUCAUAACUCAUAGAAAUUUAGAAUAAUUUUAGUUGGGAACUUCUUCAAAGUAAGAAACUAAAUAAGAAGCAAAUCUCUUAAUUUAGGCAACUAAGUCGCACCCUUAAACAAAGAAUCCUAAUUAUAGAGCAUAAUUUUACCCUCAAACAGAGAAUUGGUGGCUUGAUAUUACAGUUGAGGAUUACACGAUUAUAACUAGAACAUGAUUUUAUUAGACUUGGGAACGAUAACAACAUGAAGAGAAGAUAAGGCACUCUACUGGGGCGGUGGUCUUCCCACAAAAGUGUAAGCAGUAAAAGUUCUGGAUGUUAGGCCUAUUAGCUCAGUAUCAAGCUUGUAUAAAAUUUAACUGUUUUUCCCAAAGAUUGAGGAAGGUGCUGGGAGAUUCUAUUUCACAAGAGCAAAGGGCAUUUGUAAAAGGAUGUCAAUAAUUUUUUCCGGUUACAGGGAGAAAGGACAGCAGAUUUUAGAUGUGGUACUUUUAAUUGAAAAUGUGGUUGUGGAGGAAGUGAGAACAAAGAAAGAAGGAUUAGUUUUUAAAGUUGAUUUUGAUUUUUGAAAAAGUCUGUGACUCUGGAUUGUGGUUUAUUGGAUUUUGCUUUUGAACGAAAGGGGUUUCUUGGGCUGUUUUGAGCGAGUGGAUUAAGGAGUGUUUGUAUUCAGCUAAUUUUUUCAAUUUAUCAUUAAGAAUAAAGUAUGUAUUUUGGAAGAUAAACUUGAGCUAUUGCCUUGAUCACCUGUGUUUUUUCCUCAAUCAAAAUGAAGGGUUUGUACUUGUAUGUGUUUUGAAAGAUAAGCUUGGGUUGUGCCCUUGGCUGCCCAUGUUUUUCCUCAUUUUGUUAUCGUAGUCUAUUUGAAUUUAAUUAGCCUGGUUGGAUUUCUUAACAGUUUUUUUCUUCUUUUUCUGGCAGAAAUACAUGCCAGAUUUGGCUAGCCUUUUCUCCCAUGUAAUAGUGGAUGUUAGCAGGGUUAAAGCUUUAUGCAUUCGCUGGUAUCCUAGAGGUAGAAAUUAUUGCACUACCUGGUUAAUCCUGUAGUUUAUCUCUACCACUAAAAAGACAAGUAAAUUCUUUAAAUUGGUUUUAAUUUUUUCUUCAAUCGUCUUAAUAUGCUCUUCCCAUGUUGAUAUGCUUGAAACUUCAUACUGGACAAGUUAAAGUGCUUUCAUGCUAUGUUGCCACUAUGACCGCUUUAAGGCCAUCAGAACUAAUAACAUGGUAUACUAAAACCUUUCUUUUACUACAACAACGUACGGCCUUGUAAUUCGCCACCAAUUUUUAGUUGACUAAUAGAAACUGUGUUUGUAUAUGAACAACACUGGUGACAAAGAGCUUUACAAUGAUGAGGAAUAUGGUGGUUAAGAAGUCUUAAAUUGAAUAAUUUUCUAAAGUUGUUGGAAUGACCUUCAAAACUGAGCCCAUUGGCAAUGUGGACAAGCCACCCACCCCUUCAUGAUAUGUGGAAUAGUAUUAAAAAAGUUUUCAAGCUAUGCAAAUUUUAAUCCUUUUUGUCUUCAUUGUAUUUGUUACCUUAGCUUGUUAUGUGGCUUCUCAGAACUUGGUUGGGCUUUUUUUUUUUUUUUUUUGCUGCUCUGUAUAUUGAAAUGUGUUUGCCUGGAAACUUCAUUUGUAUUGUCAUUGUUUUACAGAUAAUAAGAAUGCCCCUUCUAAAGAAAAUAAUCACAGAGCCAUGGAUGAUAUUAGAGAAAGUAUCAGGGAACUUAAAUACUACAAGGAGAAUAUAUUCAAAGCAUUUAAAAAAUGAUACAAGGAGGCUCCAAAGUUCUGAGUCUAUGGAUUGUUUCAUUGAGGUUUGACUUGGAAAGUACUUCCAUACUAGCAGCUUAUGUACAAUUAGUUCCGGCCCUUUAUACAUGUCUGCCCCUUGAACUGUAACGAAAACUAUGUCGAUGCAUUGAACUAUCAUGGAUUAAUUUGUGUCGGGAAUCCAUCAUGUGGUGAUUGUUUUUAAUCCUAAAUUUCAUUAGAGAUUUGGUUGUACCUAAUGUCAAUAGAUCUCAUUCCUCGACUCUUUAAUUGUAUGAUUGUUUUUAUCCUUUUGUCUUAAAUCUAAUUGCAAGUGUUACUUUUGUUUCUUAAAUACUGAAAAGCAUCGUAAAGUAAGCAUUUUGACAAUUUUUCAGUGCCCUUAGGAGGAACUGGGUUGCCUAAUCUUACACAAUUCAAAUUGUUGGUGCGUUUACUCUAGACGGUUUCAAGUUUUUGAGAUUCUUGUUUUUUCGUUUUCCACAAUAAGAUGGUUGAAUAGGAUUUAAUUUGUCUUUGAUGAAUUUUUUUUUCCUCCUACUGUAAAAAGGGAGCUCAUUCCUGCAUUUGUAAUAAACCCAUUUCAGAAAUCAAUCAAAGAUCGUGGAGGGUUGAGAUCUUUUCAUACUGUCAAUUGUUCUUUACUAUUCUCUUUCUAUUUGUUCUUUAAAUUAUAUUCCCUUCACAAAAACAAAAGGGGGCUGUGUGAAGAUAUUUACUAGCAACAAUAAGAUCCACUAUGCAAAACAGAAUAAAUUGAAGUUGAUAAAAUAAAAACAAUGUUUAUUGUACGGAACGCCUUAGAGAAUUGUUAGUGUUCUAGUUUUCUAAGUGUGUGCUUAGGCUUUGGCUGCCCAUUCCUCAAUUGAAGUAAUGCAAACAAAAGUAACAAGUCCCUAAUUUUAUGCAUUUAUUGUUCUUUAAAUUUAAAUUUUGAAUGUAUGUAAUGCUGAAAAUGAAUUUUGAGUUUCUCGAUUAUAAACAUGUAGAAUUCAUUUUUAGCAUUACAUACAUUCAAAAUUAAAAUACAUAAGUUCAAACCCACAUGAUAUCUAAUUUAGAUCCCUACAUGAGAAAUUCCCCUUCCAACAUAAUUUAGAUCAUCGCUUGUACUUAAAAAAAAAAAACGCACACACAAAUAUAAGCAAAGGGCUUAUAAUAAAGUGGUUAAGAGCAAAUAUAAGGUCCUAUGUUCGAUUCCUCCUCUCUCAAUAUUUCUUAUAUAAAAAACAAUUAAAAAACAUAAAUAUCCCACUAUGGAGACGUAAAGUAAUAAUAUACCUACAGAACUCAUACACAUGGGCAUGAGAUUUUGUCAUUGUACAUCUCAUUCAAAAUAUACCUACACCAUAUGUUAUAGUAAGAAAAAGAAAUUUAAACCAGGUGCAAACAUAUUAAACUAAAAAAUCUAGCAUCCUCCAUUUGAUUGACAUAAAAGAAACCUUUUGCAUCUUUGGAAGCCCUUGCAUAAUCCAAACUAUAUUUACUCAUAUUCUUCUCAAACUUGACCAAAUGCAUUAACAUGUGUAUCACAUGAUAAAUGGAAGGACUUGACCACUUACCCUGUAACCUAUUGAAGUUUGCAUUCUUCUUAGGGAUUUUUGCAGAAAUGCCACCUGAAUUUAUACCUCAGUUUCAAUUUGUCAUCCUAAAGAAAAACUUAAGAUAAAUGUCUUAAGUUUUCAGAACCAUGAUUUGUUAACUGACUUUAAUACCAUCCGAUUUUUCAUCCAUUUUUAAGGGUAUUUUAGUCUUUUCAUUUUCAAGAGUAUUUUUAAAAAAAAAUUUCAUAAAUUAAAAAAAAAAAAAAAUCUCAUGUUUUUCUCCUUGUUGGUAUUGGAUAUAUUUGAAUUUGUCACAAGUUCCGGUCUUUUGAUUUGAUUUGUAUAUGCCGAUCGGAUAUACUCCUUAAUAAAACACCCAAUAAGACACAACAAAAUAGGAUGUCCCAUUGAUUUACUUUUAUUGUUAGACCACAUGAUCUUAUCUAAAUAAAUAUAUACCUUAAAAAAAAUUAAUAAAAAUUAAACUUGAAGGAAUUAAGGAGGGAUUUUCCGAGUCAUAUUUUAGGCUUAUCCAAUCCAUCCUCAUAGUAUUCUCAAAAGCAUUAUCAAAGGUGCUAUAAAAAGGUGUUUUCUUGUGAAAGGAGGAUUUUAAAAAGGGGCUCAAGUGAAUAUUUUUGGUGUGGGGCAGGGGGUGGGGAAGGGAGAGAGGUCUUUCUUCUUUUUUUUUUCUUGAAAAUAAAAAGACUAAAUACUCUUGAAAAUAGAUGAAAAAUUGGAUGGUGUUAAAUUAAGAUUAACAAAUCAUGGAUUACGAAAAAUUAAGGUGACAUUUCUCUUAAAUUUUUCUUUAAAAUGACAAAUUGAAAUUGAGAUAUAAGCUCACGUGUCAUUUCUACAAAAAUCCCUUCUUAUAGUGCGGUCAAGUCCACAUCAAACUUAAACAAAUAUAAAUUGACCGUUAAAAAAAUGAAAAAAAAAAAAAAAAAGACCAACUUGCAAGUAUUUGAUAACUCGCCUUCAAUCCCAAUGUCAUAUCGCUCUUCGUCUCCAAGCUCACUUUGUUCUACCCUUAACUGGAGCUUUGUCGUGAGUGAUUAUCACAAUCUUUUAGCUGAACAAUGAUUGGGCCUUCAGCAUCGCCACUACAUUUUAUUUUUUUUGGGUGAACAAGGGGAGAAAAACUCCAAAGACAAACUACUCAUAAUGGUUUAAAAACCAAACGAGCUUUAGCAACUCUUAACAAAUCAUCAACAAUUUUCGAACCAAGCCAAGAGGGAGCAUAAGCAAAAAUGCACAGACCAAGAUCCAUAUUGUAACUCCAGUUAGCAGGGUUGCCACUACUUUCGGGGAUGCAUCAAUGUGGAUUGGAAUUCGAUGCUUGAUCUUAGUGGCAAAUUGAAGAACUUUCCUUGUGAGGGUCAAUGUAUAAAAGCUCAAAAUUUUUUAGACAAAGAGAACCAUAAAAAUGAAACAAAAAUAUGACCAAAUCAAUAAAAUAUCUCGUAUUACAAAAGGGUAAUGCUAGGCUUACCACAUUUAUAUAUUACAUUGUGUACCACCUCUCUAAUAGUCUCUAAUAGAGGUGAAUCCACCAAUAAAGAUGGAGCCCACUUAGAGAGAGGGUACACAAUGUAGUAUAUAAAUAUGGUAUGCCUAGCAUUUUCCAUUACGAAAUAGUGAUGGCAAUUUCUUCCUUUCUCACUUAAACUACAUUUCUUUAGAGCACUUCCACCUAUUUGUCAUGGCAAAAGGUAAGAGCAAGUAAGGGUAGUUACUCCUUCAUGUGAAUAGUAUCAGCCCUAGUCAUUGUUCUUUGUGUUUUUCCACCCAUUGCCAUGGCAACCCAAGGGCAAUUACUAAUUAUAUGGGAUUAAUUUUAUUUAUAUUAUGAGAUUGAUAAAUAAAUAAUUGCUAGGUAUGUAUUUUAAAAAUUAUAAAUUUUUCCGUUAUUUUUUUAAUUUUAAAAAAAAUUUCUUUGCUCACGUCAACGCCCUCUUAGGCAAGAGCUUGGACUGAUAUUACUUUCCGGCCUGCCCAAUCUUGAUGGAGCCUACGUCUUGCCUGGGCUAGAAUGCACUGGUGGAGAGGCUUUUCAGCCCAAGAGGCACGGCAAAAGGCCAUGGGUGGAAAUACUCAGUAUUAAAAAAAAAAAAAAGGGAUAUCUGUUAUAAUAUUAUAUGGCAAUGGAUGCCUACCACAUUCAUAUAUGCUUUUAUAGCUCAUCCCAUUCUCCAUAUUUAGAAAUGUAUAAACCUACCACUAUAGUAAUAUUUUAUGUAUUUCCUAUACCUAUAAAUAGGCUUCAAGGAUGAAUAAAGAACAUACAAGACCAAGAGAAAUCUUUGAGUAUCAAAGAUCGGUUUCUUCCAUAUCCCAAGCUUUGUCUUCCUUAAUAUCUAUAUAUAUAUAUAUAUAUAUAUAUUUUAUUUAAGUUUUAUAACAAUAUCUUAAUUCUCAAAUACAACAAGAAUGCAAAUUUAGGAUUUCAUUGCUUCGAAAUUCACACUUGUCCAAUUUAGCAUAUGCAUUGCACGUUGCAUAUCUCGGCUCAUAUCUAAGAGUUCUGCAAUAAUAAGGCGAAUUAAGGCAUCCCAUAGCCUAGCUCUCUAUCCAUAUCUGUCUCCACAAAGCCCUCUUCCUCCUUAGCCAAGUCUCUCUUUGCCAUCUCAAGAUCUGCCUCUGUAACAGCACUCCUUCUCUUGUUCUCACUAUCCAAAAUAUCCACAUCUUCUCUGAGUCUUUUCAGUCUCCCUGCCUUUCCAGAAACUUCUUCAUACGCAAAGCGGAUUGAACAUGAGGUUCCAGCCAUGCCAAGUCAAAUCUGAAUAAACUUUGAAGGCGUACACAGAUAUCCUCUGUCAUAUCCUUCACCGUUCACUACUACAAAAAAGCAAAAAGACGACGGUAAAUCACCGUCGUGUAUUCGGUUUUUCAAUGGUCGUGGAAUCCACCGUCAUCUUUUCCCUCAUAAACCACGACGCUAAAUCACCGUCGUUGUUAAAAUAUACAACGUCAUCAACAAAUACAAAACGACGUCUUUGUACUGCAAAAAGAUCUAAAAAAGCAGUCGAGGAUGAGAAUAGACGACCAACUCUCUAAACAAACCGUCGUUAAAAAGGAAAAAUAUGACACAUAUUAAGAGAACAAAGCCGCAAGAUAGACAUACAACGACGAAAAUAAAAAUACGACGCCGUUAAAUAUCAUUUUCACGACAAUGAAAAAUUUGACGUCUUUAAAUACAUUAGAAGACGACGUUAUUGAUACCUACUACGUCGCAUAUAUAAAAACAGCCGUUGUAAAAUUAAUUUUCCACUUCGAUUUUUCGAUAAAAGAUGACGUGGAAAUAGUUGUCAGUGUCAUUAUUUACGACGUAUGUAUUUAUAGAGUAGACGUUGAAAAACGAAACAACGUCGGUUACAAAUAUAUGAGAGUCGUAUUACAAAAUUUAUACGUCAUAUUUUCAGAAACAAACAACGACGAUAAAUAUUAGACGUUGUUAAAUAAAACAACGUCGGAAAACAAUAAAAACAGACGUGUUUAGUCUGCUAAAGUUCUAGAAAAUAGUCGAGGAUGAGAAUAGACGACCAACUCAAACAAAUCACCGUCGUUAAAAAGGAAAAAUAUGACACAUGUUAAAAGAACAAUGCCGCAAGAUAUACAUACAACGACGACAACUAAAAUACUACGCCGUUAAAUAUAAUUUACACGACAAGAAAAAAUAUGACGUCUUUAAAUACAUGAGAAGACGACGUUAUUGAAAUAUACUACGUCUCUUAUUUACAAACAACUGUCGUGAAAUAAAUUUUCCACUUCGAUUUUUCUAAAAAAGAUGACGUGGAAAUAGUUGUCAGUGUCAUUAUUUACGACGUAUGUAUUUAUACAGUUGACGUUGAAAUGCGAAACAACGUCGGUGGCAUUUAUAUAGUCGACGUUGUAUUUAUAUCUAUCAUCAUUACUCACGACGCACUUAAUAAUAUAGACGACGUUGAACUUCUAAACAACGUCGGUUCCAAAUAAAUGAGAGCCGUAUUACAGAACAUAUAGACGGCGUUGAUUAUGAUGAGAGCCGUAUUACAAAUAACGUCGUUUAAUUGUUAUUAGACGGCGGUUAUAAUGAAUUUCCGUCGGAAUUCAUUUCGUUCCUCUUCGUUUAUAAAAGAACUUGCGACGUGGAAAAUGUAUGAUGACGUCGUAUUUUUUAACGUUCAGAUUAUAUAUCUCGUUUUUUAGACGUCGGUAUUAUGGGAUUGGAGUCGUGUUAUUUUGAAUUACAUGGCGGUUCUUAAUCCUUCCCCGACGUGAUAUCCUGAAUAAUUGCUUCACAAUAGCGUCGUGGUUCUUCAUUGUUACGUUGCUUUAAGACGUCGGUAAAUAUGCUGAAUAACUGGUUCACAAUAACGUCGUGUUUUAUUUGAACGUAGAAAGUGAAGAAAUCACAUUACAAUAUAUUACAAAAUUAAUGUCAUACACUGCCAAUUACAUAAGCAUCAUUCAAUCCAUAUAUCUUCACACCCAUCUCAAUAUUUUGACCGCCUAACUCACCCACCAGUUCAUCAAAUGUGUCAACAUUUGGCAUCCCUCUAGUAAAUGGCUCACACUCAAUUAUCANNNNNNNNNNNNNNNNNNNNNNNNNNNNNNNNNNNNNNNNNNNNNNNNNNNNNNNNNNNNNNNNNNNNNNNNNNNNNNNNNNNNNNNNNNNNNNNNNNNNNNNNNNNNNNNNNNNNNNNNNNNNNNNNNNNNNNNNNNNNNNNNNNNNNNNNNNNNNNNNNNNNNNNNNNNNNNNNNNNNNNNNNNNNNNNNNNNNNNNNNNNNNNNNNNNNNNNNNNNNNNNNNNNNNNNNNNNNNNNNNNNNNNNNNNNNNNNNNNNNNNNNUUGAUAUUGAAUUUAAUACCUUUAAUAAGAUAGCUCCUAUAUAAUGGCACUGACAUGUUUGGACCAGCUGCUAGCCACCUUAAAUUUUCUGAUACGCCAUGAUUGUCUUCCUCAACUUCACUUUGAACCUGCAAAUUAAUCAUAUCUUAAUUCAUCCUAACAUAUAAAUAAGAAGAAAAUUAAAAGAGAAAUACGUUAUUCAACAACAUAUACCUUGAAGCGUAGCCAUUGAAUGAAAGUGCUAUUGUGCUUAUCCUGCAGCCACUUUGUUCUCUUUCUAAAUUUUGGAUAAGCAGUCUUGAUGUGGAUCAUAUGUUGCCUACAUGACACGAAAAAUUCAAGCAUUACGGUCCCAAAUAUAUAAGAUAAACAUAAGAAAUAAUUUUAAAUGGAAACUUAAAGAAUAAAACUCAUACGUACUCGAUAUAAGGUAGGACUUCCUCCGUAUUCUCCAAGACAUAUAGAUGUGCUUGAUUCAACAGGUCCUGAUCAACUACGCUCACUGUGCAACCUGAUAAUGGCUUUGAAAGUCCCAUCUUUUGGCUUGAAGGCACUCCAACUGUACUAACAUCAGAUAAAUGCUGAGUACAAAACUCUACCGCUUCUUCAGCUAUAUACCGCUCAGCAAUGCAACCUUCGGGACGAGUACGAUUCUGAACAUACCCCUUCAGCACUUUCAUAUAUCUUUCAAACGGAUACAUCCACCUAAAAUAUACUGGCCCACAUAGACGAACUUCUCUGACAAGAUGUACUACUAGAUGAACCAUGAUAUCAAAGAAUGAAGGGGGAAAGUACUUCUCAAGCAAACACAGAGUAACUACUAGAUCUUCUUCCAACUUAUCUAGCUUGGAAACAUCAACAGUCUUUGCACAUAUAGCAUUGAAGAAGAAGCACAAACGAGUUAUUGCAUACCUUGCAGGCUUCUCCAAAACAGAACGAAUUGCCACAGGGAGCAAUUGUUGCAUUAAGGUAUGACAAUCAUGUGAUUUAAGGCCAAGAAGUCUUGAAUCUUGUAAAGAUACAAGAUUUUUAAUAUUUGAAGAAUAACCUUCAGGGACCUUCAUACCAUAGAAAGAAUUGCAAACCUCUCUCUUCUCUGCUCUUGACAAAUUCCAAGGCCCAGGAGGCAAACGAGUACGUCUUUCUCCAUACUCGGGUUGCAAAUCAGUUUUGACCCCCAUGUUCAAUAAAUCUAAUCGAGCAGCAAUCCCAUCUUUAUUUUUUCCAGGGAUCUCCAGCAAUGUACCAAUGAUACUAUCGCAAACAUUCUUCUCAAUGUGCAUAACAUCUAGGGCAUGCCUCACAGGAAGGUAUUUCCAAUACUCGAGAUCAAAGAAUAUUGAUUUCUUCUUCCAACAAACUCUGUCACCAUUUUCAACCAUGUGCAGCACUUCUUCUCCGGUUAAUGGCUCGGGAGGUAUGCCAUAUUCAGGUUUCCCAUUAAAAGCUGCACGUUGCCUCCUAUAUGGAUGAUUGAUUGGUAACCAUUUUCUAUGCCCAAUGUAACAAAUUUUGUGGCCAUUUUUCAACCUGUGACUAGGUGUAUCAUCGCCGCAUAUUGGACAAGCUUUAUAUCCUUUAACAACACAACCAGAUAAGUUUCCAUAGGCGGGAAAAUCAUUAAUUGUCCACAUUAAUGCAGCUCUGAGUGUAAAGUAUUCUCCAUUAUGUGCAUCAUACACUCCUCUAAUCCCAACCCACAAGGAUUUUAAAUCAUCAAUCAAAGGCUCCAAGUAGACGUCUAUAUCAUUUCCGGGUUGUUUAGGACCGGAAAUCAAUAAGGUUAACAUCAUAAACUUUCGUUUUAUGCACAGCCAUGGAGGGAGAUUAUAUGUAACUAAGAUAACCGGCCAACAACUAUAUCUGCUACUUAGAGAACUGUGGGGAUUGAAUCCAUCAGAUGAAAGAGCCAAUCUCAAGUUUCUCGGCUCAUUACCAAACUCAGGCCAUUUAUCAUCAAGAAGUUUCCAAGACGGGGAAUCCGCCGGAUGAGACAUCUGACCGUCAAUUGAUUUUCUAGUAGCAUGCCACCAAGUCAAACUCUUAGCUGUCUCAUGUGAUUGAAACAUCCUUUUAAACCUUGGAAUUGGGGGAAAAUACCACACCACCUUCGCUGGCACACCCUCUUUCAAGAUUGAAUCUUUGCCUUCCUUCCACCUUGAGAUACCACAAGUAGGACAAUUAGUUGAAUCCUCAUACUCCUUCCUAUACAAGAUGCAAUCAUUGGGGCAUGCGUGCAUUUUCUCAUAACUCAGCCCCAAUGCACACAAAGUCUUUUUAGCCUCAUACAUGGAGGUUGGUAUUGUAUUUCCUUCUGGAAGCAAAUCGCCUUGAAGUAUCAAUAAUUCUGUAAAACAGACAUCACUCAUCCCAUGUUUUGCCUUCAAAUUAUACAACUUCACUAAUGCCGAUAACUUCGUGUACUUUCUACAACCAGGGUACACUGGUUGAUCUCCAUCCCCAAUCACAUUGGCAAACUCAUACGGAUCCGAACCAAAAUCACCAAAAUCAUUAUCAUCCAUAUCAAUUUCUUCAGACACAAAACUGUACCUACUAUGGCCAUCAUCUUCUUCAACAUUUCUACUAGCAUUAGUAGUUGCUUCCCAAGGUUCUCCGUGAAAUGUCCAAUUCUUAUAGCUUUGGUCAAUUCCAUUAAAGUAUAAGUGAUCCCUUAUAAUUCCAACCCCAAACAACUUCAAAUUAACACAUUUAACACAUGGACAACGGAUAUGUGUUGUAGUUAGAAGAUUUUCUACAGCAAAGUUCAAAAAUGCUUCCACCCCAAAUUCAUAUGCCUUCGAUCUUCUAUCCGAGUGCAUCCAUGACUUAUCCAUCUCCGACACUAUAACCUAUUAUCUAUAAUAAAGUAAAAAUACAGGCAAUGACCAUCACUAUAGCAGAUUAUACAAUGAUCUAAUCGCAAGUAAUACACAACAGAGACGACGGGUUUUAAACAAAAACAGACGUAUUUGGCAUAUAUAGACGACGGAUUUUCAACAGACGUCGUCUAUUAUAAGUAAUACAAACGACGGUUUAUGAAAAAACCGUCGUGUAUAAGUAAUACAACGACGGUAGUUUAAAAAAACCGUCGUGUAAUCGUCGUCGUUGCCUUAAAAUUCGUCGUGUCUCAGUUUAUUUUCAAGAACACAAAACCCAUUAAGAACACAACAUAUAUAUGAAACCAAGCAAGAAACCAACAUAUACAUGAAACCAAGCAUGAAAACAAUAAAUCCAUUCCCAAUUCAACAUAACAUAGGGUGAUUAAAAGAUACGACAAAAUUAAAUCCAUUCCCAAUUCAACAUAACAGAUAAUGUAAUCCAUGAACCCAUUAAACAGAAAAUCCAUGAACCCAUACCUAUAAGCACAUUAUUAACAGAUCGCAAAGCAUACACAUAAAACCCUUUAACAAAACAACCUAAUAUAACUCGAAUCGUUACUAGAAUCAUCACUCGAAUCUCCAUCUUCAUUAUCAGUUUCUUCCUUCGUAGUACUAUUUGCUCCCCAUCAUUGGUGCUUGGUGCACACUCGAAAGAGCGAAAUGUGAUGUCACGCGAAAAAUGUGAAUUUUAGGUUUCAGGGUUCGAAGUAUAAGAAUAAGAGACAAUUCUAAAAAAUCUCUGUUGCGUGAAAAUUUGUAGAGCUAGCGCGUNNNNNNNNNNNNNNNNNNNNNNNNNNNNNNNNNNNNNNNNNNNNNNNNNNNNNNNNNNNNNNNNNNNNNNNNNNNNNNNNNNNNNNNNNNNNNNNNNNNNNNNNNNNNNNNNNNNNNNNNNNNNNNNNNNNNNNNNNNNNNNNNNNNNNNNNNNNNNNNNNNNNNNNNNNNNNNNNNNNNNNNNNNNNNNNNNNNNNNNNNNNNNNNNNNNNNNNNNNNNNNNNNNNNNNNNNNNNNNNNNNNNNNNNNNNNNNNNNNNNNNNNNNNNNNNNNNNNNNNNNNNNNNNNNNNNNNNNNNNNNNNNNNNNNNNNNNNNNNNNNNNNNNNNNNNNNNNNNNNNNNNNNNNNNNNNNNNNNNNNNNNNNNNNNNNNNNNNNNNNAGCCAAUCUAAAAAAUUUAGGUGCGCGCGAAAAUUUUUAGAGCGUCGCGCGUUUUAAAACGUCGAAAGAAAAACCAAGGUGAAAGUUCUACAACUACCGACGUAAAUUUAAUAUUCCACGACGGAAACUUCAUUUUUCGAAUUAAGAACGUAAGGCCGUUCAUUUUGAAGCUUCAUUUUUCGGAUUAAUUUUAAAUUUAUUUUGAAUUUUUUAUAUAACGACGACUGAAAAACCACGUCGGUGUUAAGAAAUUAAAGACGUUGUAAAUUAUAUAAACCGACUUACAUAUUAAAAUGACGUCGUUUAAAGCGUAAACCAUGUCGUAUGUUUUUCUGUACGACGUAAAAUAUGUAUUCCACGACGCAACCACCGUCGUUAAAAAUUAAUACCCUAAACCCAUAAAACUAAAUUAUACAAUUUAAAAAAUUAAGUUUAUAAAAGGUUUUAUGGUUUUAAAGCCUAACAUAUACCCUAGACUACCCAAAAAUUAUACUUUAAAAAUAAACCCCAAUAAAUAACAACCCUAAUCUCUAAACCCUAGACUCUAAACCCUAAACCAUAAAACUAGAAGUGAUUUUAUGACUCAUCAAAACAAUUUUGUUUUGGAUGGUCAUUUUAAAUUUUUGUUAUUCAAAAUGAAUUUUUUCAAGGUUUAUGUGGAAGAAAAUAUAUCAAUGACUUCAUAGGAGAUGACUUUUCAAUUUUCUGAUUUAUUUUAAAUUUAUUUUGAAUAUUUUGAUAUAAAAAUAAUAAAAUAUUCUUACCACAACAACAAACCACGUCGGUGUUAAUAAAUUGUAGACGUUGUAAAUUGUAAUAGACUACUAAGUCGUUAAAAUGACGUCGUUAAAAUGAGAAACCAUGGCGGCUAUUUAACUAUACGACGUAAAAUAUAUAUUUCACGACUUAACCGUUGUCGUUACAUAAACGUCGUCGAUGAUACCUUGAACCCUUAAGAAAUUGAAGAUGUUGUAAACCAUAAACGACUCAAUUGUUCAAAGAACGUCGUCUAACUAUAUUUUUACGUCGUAUUUGUUUAAAACACGAAACAACAAAAUACGACGGUUUUUGACUUUAUUAGGUCGUUGGAAAAGUAUUACACGUCGGUUAAGCAAUUUGUAUGUUUGUUUUUUUUUUAAUUUAAGAAAACCUCAACAAAUUUUUACAUUACAUAUUAUAGAGAAAAUUUGUACAUUAUACAUAAAUAUCAAGUGUUCAAUAAUUGCCCUGUUUAAUAAUUUGGAAAACAAACUCUGCCCAUUCAUUCCGGACUUCAUCAAUGGCUUCUUGGGGGUAUGAAGCUUCCUGGUUUCCCUUGGCAUACUGCAUAAACAUUGACUAUUAGGGUUUAUAAAUAAAAAGAAAUUCAAUCACAGACGACGAUAUUUUUCAUAACCGACGUAGUAUAUCCAUUCAACGACGUUAAUUUUACAUGACCGUCGUUGAUAAUACAAAAAACGACGUUAAAUGUAUGAAGGUAAUUUCUUCUUACCUUAUACUCAAACCCCAAGGAAGGAUCCAAGAUGAUGUCCCUCAUGAAGCGCAUCACAUAAUACCCGCAUUCGACAUUGCUGGGUUGCUUUGGUGUGCCUGAGAGAGUUUUCCAAAUUACAUUUUUACGUCCUGCUCGGGCUAUGUGGGUAUUAUAUAUUUUUAAAGCACUGUUCACGAUGUUUUUCGCCUCUUCGUCGACCACACGAUGACCUGGCAGAGGAUCCAGAAAAUAGACGGUCUCCUUCUUUGCUCUUACAAUCAGCAAGAUCCAAUGACGGCUGCACAAAAUUAAUAUAAAAACGACGGUUAUUUACAAAAACGACGUAUUAUAGUAUUUCACACGACGAAAUAAAGUAGAUAACGACGACAUUAUAUAUUUAUCACGACGAUAAAUAAAUGCCGACGUGGUUAGUAGUUUCAAACGACUAAAUAAAAUAAAACACCGACGUGGUUAGUUUAUAAGCUGUCAUUUAUUGAAAAUCAUAAAAACAAAAUCCUAAGGAGACUAACCCUGGAUUGUAAGGCAUCAUGAAAAUCUGUUCACCGUCUGUCUUCUGAAGUCGAGCUGCUACCAGUCGUGAUCUUUCAGUUAUUGUGCCAGAGUUGGCACUAACUGUAGCAGGGUCGAUAAAGCCAACCAUGCUGCACAUAUUGGCUUGUUUCAAAACAUCGUGUAAGUACCUAAAUACAUAAAAUAAUAUAAACAAGUCAGCACAAACAAACACGACGGUUAUGUAUAAAAAAACGACGUAUUAUAAUAUUUCACACGACGUACUGAAAUAGAUGAGGACGUUAUAAUAUAUUUAUCACGACGGUUGUUAGUUAAGACGACGUGGUUAGUUAGUUAAGACGACGCAAUAUAUAAACCAACGAGGUAUUAUUUUAGAAGUACAAACCUCAUAUAUACAGCCAAUACAGUAGCUCCAAUUUCUUCCAUGCCUGCAAAUUGUGUAAUAUCUUCAGGCAGGAGGAAGGUAUCGCGCUCACCACCAAACACCUCCUUAUCAAUUGUAAAUUGGAGUGUCUUAUCCUCAGGCAGGAGUGUCGUUUCCACAAAACGACAAAGGGUUUUUAAAGAAGAUGGCGCCUCCAUAUUUGAAUAAGCACCAACUUCAAUAACCUGUUUAAAGAAAUAAAAAAAAUGACAUGGUAAUUCAAUAAAGACGACGGUUUAAGGAAUAAAACGUCGUCUUACAAGUAUUUAAACGACGGUAAAAAAACUGUCGUGGUAAUUCAAUAAAGACGACGAUUUUAUGAAUAAAGCGUCGUCUGAAACCAUUUAAACGACGGUGCAAAAACCGUCGUUUAAAUAUUUUAUUACGUCUUAAAAAAAGUCCGCCGUCUAAGUUUUAAACAAAUGACGGAUUAAAUAAAAAUAUCGACGUCUGAAAUUUUGAAAAACAAAUAAAAAAGGCAAAGUUAUGUGAACAUACCUUGUCGUCAUGCUUUUCUUCAUCUUCUUUCUCCUUUUCUUCUUCCUUCUCUUCAUCUCUUUUUUCUUCUUCCUUCUCUUCAUCUAGCUGAUGUUUCCCCAUUUUGGCAGUAUCAUCCUCCAAAUGUAGGGAUCUCACAUCACCUCCAGAGCAGCUAGCUUUGUCAGACAUUGGAUUUUUGGGGCUUUGGCUAAUUCUUGGUUUAAGCAUGCUUGGAUCAAAAUUGGGAAUUAAUUGGGAAAGCUGACUCAGGAAAUGCUCCCUCUCAGCCUCUACCAAUUGUUUUGUCCUAGCCUCCAUCCUUAAGGCCUCUUCCCUUGCCUUAGCCUCCAUCUUUUUAGUCUCUUCUUGAAGGAGAACUCUUAAACUGUCCUUCAAACGGUCGUCAAAGCUCACCCUCUGUGGUUUGGGCAAAUUGAAAUAUUGCCUUGGGGAAACACCAGCACCAACUCCCCUCACUCUGCCUGGAUGCUCGGGGCCCAAAGCCAUGGUCAGCACAUCAUUGCUGCCAUCUACUCUGACUUUGCCUUCCGAGACUUGUUUCUGCAAUUCAUCCUAAAAAAAGAUAAACAAAAAAACACACGACGGUUAUUUAUGUACAAACGACGUAUUAUAUAAUUUCACACGACGCAAUAACGUAUAAACCGACGUUAUUAUAACUUAUCACGACGGUAGUUAUACCGACGUGGUUAUUUAUUUAAAACGACGAAAUGAAUAAACAACCGACGUCUUAUGCUAUAAUUAAAGAAAACAGAGUAGUGAUUCCUAUUUAGACCGUUAACGACGUUUUUAAAAAAGUUUCGACGUGGUAAUAUCAUUCAAACGACGCCAAAAUGAACCACCGACGUCUUAUGCUAUAAUUACAGAAAACAUAGUAGUGAUUCCUAUUUAGACCUUUAACGACGUUUUUAAAAACUUCUCGACGUGGUAAUAUCAUUCACACGACGAAAAAUAUAACAUACGACGUAAUAAGAAUAAUUCACAGUUUAAUAAAAAUUUAAAACAGAGUGAUAGUAGGCUUACAAUUAAUUUUGCUUUCUCUGCCACCUUUGGAUCAGGGAUGUUACCAUGUUUGUCCUGUCUAGCUCUCUUCCAUAAGGUAGAUCGAUCAAUUUCUACCCCAGGCAUGGUUUCCUCCAAUUGAUCCUCCAAUCCAGCAUAUCCUUUUCGAGACAAUCGAUGAUUGUACUCGAGUUUCUCCCUAAUCUGUGCAUGUUGAGAAUGCACAGACUCAAAAUCUUUGGAUAGCCUUGAAGCUACAAAGGCAUCCCAUUGUGCUUUCUCUAUGAAUUUAUAUGUUUCAGGGGGUUGGCUUAAUUUCUCCCAGUCAUUGGUGUAUGGAAGGAUAUAAUGCCUCGUUAGUGUAGACUUGAAAUCCUUCCAUUUCUUGGAAGCAGAAGCUAAAACAGAGGUCUUGCCCCCUUGGCCUACGACAAAAGCCAUGUCAACUGCUUCCCAAAUCUGCUCCUUUAUAUCCUUGGGGAUUUGGGACCAUUUCUUGUCCACAAGUGGGAUCCUGGAGCGUGCCAACACACCAAUAUACGACUGCAUCUCAAUAUGUGCUUGGCCAACACUUUUCCCCCUUUUAUUGUACUCAACAAUUGGCCUCAGUUUCUGAAGCUUUCUCUUUACAACACGAGGCAUUGUGCUCAUACCUCGACCAGUCUUUGAAUCAUCAGAGAUUGUUGUCUGGCUGGUUGGUUCUGUCUCAGCAGAUGAUGAAGCAAACUUUAUCUUCUUCGAAGACUUCAUCUCCUUCGAAGACUUGUCUUGAGGAGCUACCAUUCCAAGCUUCUUGGAGCCAGACUCCUUAGUUUGUUGUUGAGAAACCAUUUUAACAGACAAAACUGCAAGUGAAAAUAUUUCAGGAAAACAUUAAGAACUCAAACGACGGUAUUAAAAAAAUACGACGUAUGAUAUGAUUUUAGAUGACGCAAUGAAAUAAUCUCAGACGUAAUAAAUGUUUAAAACCAUUAUUUAUAUAACGUCGUGGUAUAUAUGUUCACACGACGUCAAUAGUAAUACACCGUCGUGGUAAAACUAUUAUUUAUAUAACGUCGUGGUAUUUAUGUUCAUACGACGUCAAUAGUAAUACACCGUCGUGGUAUUAACAUUCACACGACGUAAAACAAUAAGAUAUUUUGUCGUCUAUAUUAGAUACCAACCCUAGUUUCUUUUUCUUUAUAUUUUAUCAAAUAAGGGAAAAACAAAAACCAUUGUUCAGAGAAAUCAAACCUGCAAUUAAACAAGCAUAUAAAAAAAGACUAUUAUUUUAAAAACAACUUUGUCAAUUUUCAGACGACGCUAGAACAACUGACGAACCGUCGUGGUCUACCGUCGUCUUAUUUAGUUGAGGUAGUUGUCUUCAAAGUUGGAAACUUUCCCUCUUUGUCUGUAUAUUUUAUCAAACUUGGAAAUAAGUAAAAUGAUUUUGGCCAGAAAAAAGGUAAAAAGAUUUUUCAAACAAAAAACGUAUGAGCAUGCAAAACAGUAACCAAAAUAGUGAAAAUGAAAGCUUACCUUUUGCGUGCAAUGAAAGCAAGAGGAAGAUGAUCGAUGUUUAAGUUCAGAGACGACGAAGAAGACGAGAGGAAGACGAUGAGAAACUCUGACAAUGCUCUGACAAGGAAAAAAGACGAAAAGGUUUCUCUGGGAGAUUGAAAUUUUUAAUCGGGUUUGGAAACAGUGCAUGUGUAAGUCGAAAAGUUGCUUACAUAUAAAACCAUUUCAAAAAAAUAAUACGGCGGUUACAUUUAACUACGUCGUUUUUAACUAACACGACGCAAUAUUUUUCGUUCGACGUGGAAUCAUUUCAUUUAACGUCGUUAGGUUUAAUAUAACCGACGUGGAUUUUAAUUUUUAAAUUAUGAAUAGAAUUUUUUUUCCCGUGACCUUUCAGUUUAUUUUUCAAUUACAGUGCGUUAUAAAUAGAGUUUUUUUUUCCGGAGGAAAUUUAAAACGAAGGAAAUUAAUAUUCUGCAAUAUGUAAAGUUUCUUUUUUGGAUGACAGAUUUAAAUAAAAUAAGAAUAUAAAAACAACGAAUGUGUAAGUCAAGUAGACGAAAAGUUGCUUACAUAUAAAACCAUUUCAAAAAAAUAAUACGGCGGUUACAUAUAACUACGACGUAUAAAUUACAAAAUACGACGGUACAUUUAACUUCGGACGCGGUAAAUAAAUACGACAGUAGUUUGUAGGUACCGUCGUAGUAAACUCAAAAAUUAAAGUACAUAAGUAAUAACUCGCGUCAUGGUAGAUUAUUUAACACGUCGUUUUUAUUAAUUUACCGACGUGGAUUUCUGUAAUAUACGUCGAUCAUACCGACGUUGAUUUUACAAUUUAAACGGUGGUUGUUUUGUAAGGACCGCCGUUGGUUUUAAAAAUUUAUUCUAUAAAUUUGUCGCUUUCAUUCAUUUUCGGUUUACAUUUAAGGUUCCAAGUUUUUCCUCUCUCAGUCUCUCAUGUCUCAAAGACAAUAAUUUGGAUGUUUUCUCAAAGAGAAAUUGAGCUUACUCGCAUCAAAUAUAUGUCCACAAGAAGAAGCUUGUCAACUAGCCUUCUCACUUCCUUGAUCAAGCCUGAUAGGACACUUAGUGCUUCUGAAUACUCCUUGCUUUCCAUCAAAAGAGAUGCAAGCCUGGCCUCCACUCGCUGUCGAAGGAAAGUUCGCUUCUCAGGGAAAUCUGAAGAUCAGAUGUGCCUGAUCCUCUGCUUGAUUUUCUUGCCUAAGAAGAUCCGUCGGAUUUAUGAUAGCCUCUUCCUUUAUCCGUAGAGCUUCAGAAGAAGAAGAUGGGUUUCAAGAAUGCGAUAAAGAAUAGAAAUGGCUUCAGAUGGCCUCUAAAGCAUGAGCAAUUGAAUCAGUAGUUUCUGGGAGAUAUGAUGAAGACAUUGUCAAUGCUUUGAACUAUACAAGUCCUGCAGAAAGAUAUGUUAAAGAAACUGAAACAACGGCGGUUUUCUGUUCUACCGUCGUCUUUUCUCGUCGUCUAUAUUAAGUUAAGAUGGCGGUAGAUUUAUAAUUACCGACGUAGAUUAUUUUGUUAAACGUCGUUAAGUGUACUACAACCGACGUGGAUUUUAUUUUUAAAUUAUAAAUAGAGUUUUUUUUCCCGUAUUCUUUCAGUUUUAGUUUUCAAUUCCAAAGCGUGAUAAAUAGAUUUUUCUUUCCCGAGGAAAUUUAAAAUGAGGGAAAUUAAUGUUCUAAAAUUUGUAAACUAACACGACGCAAUAUUUGCAAAUCUGUGUCAUCUGUUAAGAUUAUGAUGUGGAACAGAGUUCCAUCUGGUAAGAUUUCGUAACCCUUGGGAUCUCAGACAAAUCUGAUUAUGUCGGCGGUAUUCUAUAUAAACCGUCGUGGUUAUUUCAAUUCUUGUCAUUAAGUAGAUCUACCGACGUAGGAUAAGAAAAUCAAAGAAAAAAAUUGUUAACAAAAAUUCUUAUUAAGAAGACUGUUAAAAUUAAAGGUACGACGUAUAAAAUGAAUAAAUACGACGAUAAAUUUUAUUGUACGAUUUAAAGAUAACGUCGUAAAACUAUACGAGAAUGACGUCGAUAUAUUUAUAUUUUCCGUCGUUGUAAAUUAAUUUAAUACGGCGAUAUUUUGUAUUUUAAAGCCGUGGAUUUGUUUGUAAUUAUACGGCGUCUUAUACGAAAACCUCGUCGUGUUAUUUUAUGAGUAAAAACGGCAGUUUUUAUUGAAAUCGUCGUCUUUACUUUCUACGUCGGUCGAUUCAUAACUUCUGCCGUUCUUUGUUGGCAUUGAUUUUACACUGCGGAAAUCUGUUUCAAAUAGACGUCGGUUGUUUAAUUAUAUACGUCGUUGUUUUUGAACAGCCAUUUGAAACUCCAUUUUUUAGUUGUCUAAGGUUGUAUUACACGACGGUGUUUUUAGAACCGUCGUCUUUUUAUAAACCACGGCGGUUUUCACUUAGACCGUCGUUGUUUUCUGGUCGUCUUUUUCACUUUUUGUAGUAGUGGUUGUAGUCUUCAGAAAAUGCAGGAGUUCCCCAAAAGCUGUGAAUGCACAUUUGCUAACUUUGCGACUUCUCUUCUGUUGGCAUGCAAUCAACGAAGGAUACCAUGAACAGACUUCCUCUAAUAGUGGCACAAAAGCUUUAUCUAUUAGUCCUAAACCCCUAAAGUCCAAAUGCUGGCCAGUCGGCGUAAGUUCCUUGAGUGCAGAGGGGUCAACAAGGCUACCAAUUUCAGAAGGUGGUGCUGAAGGUUCCCGUCCAUUGUAUUGUUUCUCUGUUUGUCCUAAACUCCUUAAAUCCAUCAGUCGACCAGUUUCUGGGUCUUUUAAAAUCUUACCUUUAACGUUAUGAACUGAAACUUCAGCUUCAAAAACACAUGUAUCAUUCACGAGAUACCCUUUAUCAUGGUUACAAAGCUCACUUAGACGAAUGAAUAAUGGAAAGCCCCAGUCCUCAGUUGCCACAAACUCAUGUCCACUGCUGUCUGUAACAACAAAAGUAAAAAGAAUCACAAAAAUAUAAUCAAGAAUAAAAUCUGAUGAACACCAAAUAGGAAAAUAUAAAUGUAGAGGAGAGGAGGGCUGUUGAAGUGUAAGAAAUAGCGCAUUCAGUUAAGUUGUCAACGAUCAAAACUCAAUAGACAAAAUAUCACAGUUCAAACAGAUAGGAGAAAAAUAUCUUAACUGACUUAUAAGCCUAAAUGAUUACAAUAUAGAUGGAGCAUAGAUGAUAAAAGGAUCCCGGGCCUCUGCAUUUACAAAGUGCACUUAUGUAUGAUUAAAGAUGUUUAACUUAUAAGUAACUUUUUCUUCAAUAGUAGAAGAAAAUUAAGAGAACAUAUUUCAAAACUUAAAACACAUUGUGAAAGGAUUUAAAAAAAAAAAAAAAAAUUGCUAUAACGAUCUUUAGAACUCUAAAUGCUUUUCCCAUAUAUUGAAGGGCUUCUUAGAGAUAGGUCCAUUAUUACUUUAGAUACAGUUGAUCCAAUUGACUCUUCUCAAUUGCAGUUCACCUAGCAAAUUGUGUGGCCGGGUAAGCAAACCUUUGUAGCCAUAUUUGUUGCGUUUUGCGACCUGUAACAAAUUUUUCAUAAUAUAUAUUCUAAUGAAGAACGUUGGGGACAUGUUUUUACUGUAGACGUGGUCACAUUCGCGGCGUUUGAGCGACUGUGAAUAGCAGUUAUCUGCCACAUAUUUUGAACACAAACUCAAAUUUGCUGAUGCUGAUGAUCUAUAUAGAUGUUGAGUUUAAACACAAUAUAAACGUUGUGUGAUAAGCGCACGUCAUCAGAUAAUGGUAUAUUUCAAUAAAUUAAUGACAAGCCAUCACCAGAGAUACGAACAUAAAUUUGAAUUAAGAUACCCUUUCUUGUUGACUUCUUGGUAUCAAGUUGAUUAACUAGGGUGAAGCUGAAGUUGGCAUAUCUACUCCACCCGGAUGGCAAUGAUGAAGCUUCUGCAACAUCCAAAUACACGGCCAAGUGCUCUACUUCUUGGUUCCCCUUAGGAAAUGUAAGGAUCCGCCUGAUCAUAUAUACACCAACCAGGGAAAUCGAGCCCAAAGCUAACUAACAAUUAUUAGUGUAUAAGCUGUGAGCUAAGUAAAGUUAGAGUAAAUAAGCCUUGUUUUAAAUUGUGUAUUCACUUAGUCUAGAUUAUGACAAGUGUAAGGCUGAGAUUGUAUUGUUGAUUGUGUGUGUACAGCUAAAGCUAACGGUUAUGUACUCAUGCCUUUGUGCGUGAAUUUUGAUACUGAAUAUACACUCACUCUCAGACUUUGAGAGUAGUAGAGCAUUAUACAUAUAGCUUGAAUCUUCCUCUAUUCUCUCUGUUUUUUCCUCUCUACUCUAAUCUUCCAUAGAAACCCAGCUAAGAAUUCAAACACUAACAACAAUUAGGGUAAUUAUAUCACCCUCAUAAACAAAUUAGUUCGUACGUACCAUUUAUAAAUUAUAACCACCAAUGAAUAAGACGCGGGAGUAAUGCUCUAUGUUAGUCAACUUAGAGAAGUGAUCAAUUCUCCAAGUGAAUUUCCCAGAAGACAAAAGGUCGUUCUCUCCCGCAUUCUUCAUUAUACUACCAUGCAAGUUCAAACAUGAAAAUAAUAGCCACCGUCACACAAAUAUCACACAAUAGAUACUAGUUUUGAUUAAAAUCGCAUAUAUAGCACAUGUAGAGAUGCAAAACAAAAAGCACCAAUAUUAAUAAAUAUAAUAGUCCAGAGGCGUAUACCUUCCACUUGACCAAUUCAUAUGUCAAUAUAUGAGAGAGAGAGAGAGAGAGAGAGAGAGAGAGUUUUGAUAAAAUGCAGAAGAAAUCUUCCUUAAGCCUGUCUCUUAACUCUAUGGCCACUUAGGAAGAGAGAGGGUCAGUUGAUUAAGGAUUCCUUCAUCUGUAUUACGUUAUCCCAUGAGUAACUAAGUAAGUUUUUAAUGGACAAAAUGGCACCGUCUCUCUUCCAAAACCAUCUGAACCAAAAUUAUCAGAAAAAAGGUGCCCCAUCGGCCAGACAUAACUUCAAAAGAAAUACUAGUAAGACUCUCACACACGCGACACAUUAAUAAAUUUUUCUGAAGAUCCUUUCGUAUUUUGGCAUCUUUUCUUUUCUUUUGGUUUUAUUAUUUUUAGAGAAGUCAAUUGUUCACUCCGAUACACAAGGUCGUCUCCUUUAUUCUCCUUUCUUUCGUUUCAAUCAUGACCUAAUGUACUACAGAAAUCUGAGGUAAACAUUUUAAUACCUUCAAAAGAAUUAGUCUAAACGAAAAGCCGUCGUCCUAUAUCUGGGAUAAAAUUCUACAUUUUUCAUUGGAUAGCUUUAUAUAUAUAGUUCUCUUCAGUUGAGGGAUCCCUUAAAUAGUGUUAUUUGAGGGAUGAAGCUCUCAACCAUUGAUCUAUUUUAAUGUUCUUGUGUGGCUGAGAUUGAAUUACAUCUUUUAACAUGUUUUCACACUCUUGACCCACCACAAACUCCACUUACGCCGGGAAACGAAAGUUCUCUCUUCUUCCUCCUACCCUUGGAGACCUUUCACGCAGACCAAACGACCCAACGUGAAGAGGAAGACUCACCAUCGUCAGUUGAAGAAGAAGGCCCAACGUGAACUAGUUGUUGAGCUCGCGAGAUUUCGAUGAUAAAAGGGUAUGGUAUCCUGAGUUUUGAUAUGGAUUUUAAGAACUCAUCAACAAUUCCAUCAAACUCGUGCUUUCAAUGCUCCAUUCAACAUGGUUUGGGUUUUCUUGUUUUUUUCUUCUUCUUAAUCUAGUCUUUUGGAUUAAGGGAAAAAAAAGAAGACAAGAAAAUAGAAUUUAUACACAUCAUAUAUUCUUCAUGUUGGGUCUUUGGUCUGCGUGAAAGGUCUCCAAGCAUUGGAGGAAGAAGAGAGACCUUUCGUUUCCCAGUGUAGGUCGUUCCCAAGCGUAAGUGACACUACUACGUUUUAUUAUUUACGGGACAAAAUUUUGCGCGACGAAUACAAGUUCGUCACGCAAAAUGCAAUAAAGCGACGGAAAAAAAGUUUCGUCGCGCAAAAAAUUGAAAACUUGCGCAACCAAAGUUUUCAAAACGUAAAAUCUAGAUUGUUAAGGGACUAUUUGGUAUCUUACUUGGAUUCAAUUUUAUAAACUCAAAAACAGCUUUUAAGUUCAAAGUGACAAAAACCCAUUUGGUAUGCCAAUUUUUAAAAAUUCAAGCCCAAAAAAAACUCAAAAGCAUCUCCAUUAAUUUUUUUUUUAAAGUGAGGUUUUAUAGUUUUUUUUUCCCUCUUUCUCCAGGCUCUCCCUCAUGUGAUGCCUCUCUCUUUCCUUCCUCUCUCCACACACACACACACACACACACACACUCUCUCUCUCUCUCUCUCCUUUUCUUUUGUUAAUUUCAAUUUGGAACACACACACACACACACACACACUCUCUCUCUCUCUCUCUCUCUCUCUCUCUCUCUCUCUCUCUCUCUCUCUCUCUCUCCUUUUCUUUUGUUAAUUUCAAUUUGGAACACACACACACACACACACACACACACACUCUCUCUCUCUCUCUCUCUCUCUCUCUCUCUCUCUCUCCUUUUCUUUUGUUAAUUUCAAUUUGGAAAUCUAGGGUUUUUUAUUUUAAUUUCAAUUUUUUUAUAUUUUAAAAAUAGUUUGGAGUUCAAUACCAAACAAGUUUUUAGAUCUUAAACUCACUAUAUGAAAACUCAUAUUUUUAAAAAGAAUCAUAGUUUAUGUGACAGGACCCGACCCAAUUUCCGCUUUGAAAUUCGAGCCAAGUCCUGUGCGUGUCCGACACCUGGCGAAUGUCGGGCACAAAAGACCUUCUUACCCUUCUCGUUCAAAAUUCUUUUAAAAUUUCCCUUAGACUUCUGCCGAAAAUUCGGCAAAAUCUCCCCUGUAAUUUGACCAAACCCAGAUUUUUCCACCUGUCCAACAAACAAACAAAUCUAUACCAACUGCCAGAAGAGAAUAACUAAGUAAUCACCAGCUCCAGUUUUCCACUAAAACUAGAUAUCAGAGCAUUUUCAACAGAACUCUACCUUACUUGGUGGCGCGGAAGCUAUGAAUGGCCCGGUGGUGGAUCCUGUGCACUUCUACAGCCUGGGGGCGAAAAACAAGUUUAAAGGUGUGAGUGGACAAAAAUAAUGUUCUUGAAAUCAGUUUAAAAUCAUAAUAACCCCCAUAGUAAAAAUAACUUGAUAAGUAAAGCUAAAGUUCACCUGUGUUUAAUAUAAAGUAUUCCUCUAAAUAUAAAUACGUAACAGUAUGUAUAUAGAUUCGUAAAGCUGAACAAUUAUAUGAAGAGAUAAAACAUGCACGUUUAUUGAGAAAACUGAUAUAAGAUGAUUGAAAAACAAUAGCUGCAUAAAAGUGCUCAAAUUGCUUUAAACCUACCACCUGAGUGUACCCCUGAAAAUCCGUCAAUUCCCCUGGCAGGUCUCGGGCGUCACGCAGGCUACCCGAGCCGCAAACUGGCGAAAUCAGGGGACUAUGGUCAGCCUGAUCCGCCGGCAAGUCCCGAUGACACCAAGUCGACUCGAGCCGCUCUGGCAAGAUAUAGGGGACCGCAGUCAGCCUGAUCCGCAAUCCUGGCAGGUCUCGGGGACACAGAGUCAGCCGAGCCGCAAUCCUGGCAGGUCUCGGGACACCAAGUCUGCCAAGCCGCAAAUCCUGGCAGGUCUCGGGGACACAGAGUCAGCCGAGCCGCAAAUCCUGGCAAGUCUCGGGGACACAGAGUCAGCCGAGCCGCAAAUCCUGGCACUCACAGUCCGAGCGUCCCCGAAACUCGUGAGACAAUGUCAAGUGCACUGACAGAACUGUAAACAGACUGGAUGUCCGUAGACAUCGGUCCGUCUGAGGGUAAUCACCAAAAACAAGCGGGUACAUGGUGGUUCUAAUUUAGAAAAAUCUGAUAAUUCACUGUAUUUGGCAAGUCUGAAACUAAGCUGCUAUUUUCUCUGAUAUAAAUCUCAACUCUGCUUUCUGUCACGUUCUACCAUGUUCAACUAAGCAGCAUAGAAAUAAAGAUAUUUUUACGGCACAAAUCAUGCUCGGAAAACAUUCGGUAAAACUUAUUCAAAAUCAAAUAAUGAAAUUUACUCAUAUAAACUCAUUUAUAAAAAGCUUUAUAUAACUCAUUUAUAUAAAAUCAUUUAUGAAAGGAAGUCCACUCACAGUUGGUCCGAGCUCGCUGGACCUCUUGAAGGUCCCUCCUGUAGGUCGACUGGACUUCUGGUGCCUGAUUAACCAUGAAUAAUAAAUUAAUAAACUGCUGAAUAAAAAGAAUUUAAAUUAAAAACCCUGCCCCCGGCUCCUAGAAAUACGCGCACUCGUUAUAAAAUAUCUCUUAUACCCACAUUAGCCUUUCAGACUCUUAGAUCAGUUUUGGAAGACCCGACGCAUAGUUAAGCGAUAAGCUGCCAGAUCGGCCGACCCGGGACAUGUGGGUCCACGGUCUCCGAUGGCCAAUCUGGGCUCCUCUGAAGGUUCCUUACAGAGAAGGAACCAUGUUCUGCGAGUUUGGUCCGAAACGGACGGUCGGAUUAGCCAAAAUCGCGUUAUCGCUUAAAAUCUAAACCCUAGCCCCAGGGUUCGCGAUUUCGGAGUAUCCGGGACUCCGAUUCGCAAUCCGUUGAAUCCUACACGAUACUGAAAUCAUGUAGACCGACAUAUCCGAAAUUCAGCGCGAUCCGACGAUUUGACGACACUGCACCCAAGGAUCGCGCGAUAUGGAAAAUCCGUUCGGGGCUCAAACGGACUCCGAAUCGAGAUCCGCAAAAUCCUACGCGCUCGUGAUGACACGAGGAUCUCAAAACUUCCCAGAGUUACUCCACCACCCUCGCCCACGCGCCCCAGCACGCGCGGGCAGAUUCGGGUGUCUAAAGCGAUACCGAGUGGCCGAAAAAUCUCGGAACCAAGACUCCAAACUCCUAUCCUAGGUAAAACACCCCACUUGGAGUCACUUUUGUUCUUCGACAUACCCCAAAAAGUGAUCGAAAACAGUAGAUCACGGCGGCCGAAGUUUCGGCCAAUUUUCAAGUCGAAAAUCGAACCCUUUAGAGCUAAAAUCGAUCGAAACCCAUACAUCCAUUAGCUAGAACACAAAAAAUAGCUGAGAAACCAUACCUUACUCGAUCGAUUUGGUGGAGAAUUGAAGGAGCAAAUCGAGCUCAAAGUUCAAACUGGAAAUCCGGCGAAAAUGGAGUUUUCCGGCCAGCUCCGGCCACGGAAACUCCGGCGAAGGGUCAAGAAACGUCGGCGGUCGAGUGGUGGUUCGUUUGGUACUAACGACGGAGAUCGGUUCCAAGUGUGGCGGCCGUGGCGUCAAGGAGGAGGAGGAAAGGUCGGGCGGCUGGAGCAAAAAUCGGGAGGAGAGAGAAAUGAAGAGAGAGAGAAGGAAAAAGGGUUAAAAAUCUGACUUUUUGGCCAAAUUAUCAAUUUGCCCUUCACGGUAUUUUGAUCGUAUCUUCUUCGUUACAACUCCGAUUCGGGUCUACUCCGUGUCUACGAACUCCUCUCGCCGUGCUCUACGCAACGGCGCAAGAGGAAUUGCCAAAUUCUUUCUCGAUCAAAAAGUCAAUUUUCCCCCUAUUAAAUAAUGCGAGGGCAAAAUUGUCUUUUUGCUAGAAGAUAUUAUCCUUACUUUUUAGAUAUUUUAUUUCUUUUUAGAUAUUUUGUUUUGAGUUAUUACAUUAUGAAUUUACUUUUUUGAGUAGGAUCCGAACAUGAUCUAAGAUGCUAGUAGAAUUAGGCAGCAAUUUUUUGUGUUUAGGUGGGCUUCUUAAUUCCUUGAACCAAUUAAUUUUGAGUUUGGGAUAGCGAAGAGUGCAUUAAGCUUAAGGUUAGGAUUGAAAAAAAUACUAAAAGCAUUUACAAUUAUACUUUUUAUUAUUUAGUUAAAAUUUAAUUAAAAAAAUUAUUUUAUGAACUCUCUAUAAAAUUCCUCUCUAAAAUUUAUCUAAAGAGUUAAUUUAUGGAGCUCAUUACCCUGUUCUUUAAAGUUAACCAAACUAGAGUUUAGAGUUCCGAGGACUUUAAAUUGAAUCUGAAGAGAUCACUUUUCCACAGUUGAACAAGCUUUUUUUCUUCUUCUUGGUUUGUGAGUCGAAGAAGCUUUGUUUUCUUUCUUGGUUUGUGAGUUUAACAAAAGCUUUAUUUUUAAAAUUUUUGACAAUACCUAUGUGAGUAUUAUAUGCCAGCUUCGUCUAACUCUAAUGGUUAGGUUUUGGUGAUUUUGUUUUUGUCCGGAAGGUUUUGGUGAAGUCGACAUGUUGUAUAAAUAACUCCACCCCUUAGGGCAAAGUCUAAGACAAGGGCAAGCAAGGGCUGACACUAUUCACGUGAAUAGUGUCAGCCUUGCCAUUUGUGGCUCCACCCACAAGGGCAAAGUCUAGGGCAAGUCUAGGGCAAUUACUAUUAAUUGUACUUUAUUUCCUAUUUUUUUAAUACUUUAAAUCAAUAAUUUUGAUAAUCUUUUGUAAUUAAAUUUUCAAAUGUGAAUCUCGGUUGCUACGUGUCUUAUUCUAGAUAAAAUUUUCGAAUAUUCAUUAAUAAAAAUUGUUGGUGCGCUGGGCUUGCUCUAAGUAGAAGGUGGCCUAAGGAAAUUUGAAAUGGACUACAUGUGGGGCCCAUCCACGUGGGAACUGAUCAAUAAUUCAACGCAUUUGCGUGCAACUUUACCUAAAAGCAUCCAUGUGGAUGACCAAGCAAGGCGGGUAUCAGGUGUUUUGUCCUUUACUUUCUUAUUUUUUAUUGGGUAAUGGCUACGCCUGUUUAGCACUACACUUAUUUUACUCAAACACUUAUUUUACUCAAACAGCCUUUGAAAGCUUCAACGUUGUCUCUCUUUGACCUAAUCAACAAUCAUGCUCAACUGAAACAUUACUCCUGGAUCAACAAUCAUACCUCAGCCUUAGGAUUGCUACAAACUUGCAUUCGAAGUUUGAGAAAAACUGGUACGUCAAGAAACAUGAUUUGUUAGAGAGAUGAAAUUUGUGCAAUAUAUUUUUCAAUCGCUUUGCUAUUCCAUCAAGUCAUCUCAAAGUUGCCAUAUAGUUUCCUAGCAGUCGACCCGGGCAAUCAGUCAACAAGAGAGACGUGUAAAUUAUUUAUUUAUUUAUUUUCGGGAGACUCACCUCUAAUUCAUAUAGACGUUUAGUUGUUACUUUCUUGUUGAUCUUUUCCAUAUCAUUUCAUCUUUUCUGUGCUCUUGGAUUGGAUCUCAGGUUCAUCAUAUAUGCGAGGAACCAAAAGUAUUGUAUCAAGGUACAAUUUUCUUGUUGAUUUCUUUUGUUCACCAAGGCGUUGAUCUAUUUCAUCUUUUUCUUGUUGAUUGCUUUUAAAAGCUGCUGUGGACGGAGGUUUUAAUGAAUAUUUUCAUCUUUACAUUUGUUAUUCUUAACCUGCAUAAUAAUAUAUAAACCCCUUUGAUUACUUGCAUAUUAUUCAUUUUUAAGUUACAAUGUUUGUUAUCUCGCACUAUGCUCAACUUAAAUCACUCAAACUCAUCAUACAACGCAUUUUUUUCAAAAAAAAAAAUUGUGUCAAAACAAUAGAUAAUUCACUAAUUGAACAUCUUUCAAAGUUUCAUGACAAAUUUCCAUAUUUUUCGACCACUUUCCGUCAUUUUUAUUCCAUUUUUAUCUAUAUCGAUAUUUUGUCGAUAUUUCCAUUGAUAUUUCUGUGUUUUUGAACCACCGAUAUUUCCAAAACCCUAGAUAUUUAAAUCCUUGGUUAGAACGUAUAUGCAAGGCUCCAUACCUACCAGCUUGCUUACACUUUUUAAUUGGUUGGCACACCAAGACGUUUGAUCCGCCAUUGCAGGAAGGUGGUAAGGAAAAGGGGGAAGCGUAAAUCAACCACCACAAUGGCUAUUCGCGAGGUAAUUUCCAAGUCACCCUAUAUAUAUAUAUAUACACAUAUAUAUAACACAGUAUUUUAGCAGAAUCAUUCUGUGUUAAUUAGUUGCUUGUAGCUGGUUUGUGAGUAUAGAAUAUACCAAUAAAUGAGAUGUAAUACCACUUCACAUAGAAAAAAAUAAUAAUAAUAAAGCAACGAAAUAUGAAAUUCAACACCGAAAACUAAAAAUUAUAGAAAUUACUAGAAAAUAAAAUAGAAGUACGCAAAUUACAGUAAACCACUGAACUAAACAAAGUCUUAAGCUGAUAGAUUUCUUAAGAGUCUACAGGUCCAAAAGUUGAAGCUCUAUUGUACGUGUUUGUGACAUUGGAUCUAAAGUAUGAAUUCGGAGAAUACAAAAUAAUGUUUACCAGAUUUGAAUCUCUCUAUGUAAUUGUAGUAUUUAUGUCAAUGCGCUUAUAAAGCAUGUAAUUGAAUAACUCUAGGGGCACUUUUGGGAAGAACUGCACGAGCAUAUUCACUGUUUCCCCUCUUGUCUGCAAAAAUUGAAUACAAACAUGUUUUAGAGAAUAGUAAUAUUAAAAAAAAUUUAAAAAGCAAAUUUAGGCCAUGUUAAUACCAAAAGUGCAUCCUCUAUUUCCUCUUGUUUCUGCAAUAAUUGAAUAAUAAUAAACGUUAGAGUAGUUUAACAUAAAUUAAAAAGCACUUUUAGGUAAUGUGUAUACCGCAUUUUCCUUCUUGAGGUCCUCCUGGAUAUGCUCAUUUACAUGCUUGAGUGCAUGUCUGAAAAACAUGAGAGCUCCUAGCGCAUUUGGCUCGUAUAUGACUCCUGGAUAACUGUAAACCUUAGCGAAAGCAAAGGCACCACGAGAAGUUCCGGAAGUUCCGGAAGUGAUGUCACCAAAGUCAACCUUUUUCCUCCCUAUAAGGUUUUUGUAAUCCUUUUUCCAACCUUUUCUCUCAAUGUCAAGAUAUGUAUAGAGACGGAAUAUAACCACGGCUACUUCGUCAGACGAUAAGAGUAAGGGGUGCCACUGUACUUGCUUAAAAUAAAACCUGCACUUAAUGAAACAGAGUAAGAGAUGAGAAUAUUGGCUUUCCAAGUAAUUCACACUACAUAUUUCGUGUGCCCUAAUUGAAAGCAGGUUCGUCCUCUUCUUGGGAAAGUGUAUUAGUACGUUAGGUGAACCCAAAUAACACUCAAUCUUCAUAACUACAGAGAACUCCAUUUGGGUUUUUAUAUUGAACAUGUUUAAGUUGAACUACGUCUGCAUUUCUUUUUAGGUUGUAUUAUUUCAUCUGUGGGUGUGUGAAUUUGCAGCCUUAAUGCAUGACCCUAUAGGAAUAAAGUAAGUUAUCAGGAGCUUGCUUACCAAGGUAUGCAAUAUUCCAUCAUUUUGAAAAAAUGCUUUAACAACAUGGGACUAGUAGCUUUCCAUGUAUCAACCAGCAGACGUGCCAGUGUAAGAAAUUGUUCGCGAUAGCUUGGCAUGGCUGGGUUGUAUGCACGUGGGAUAUCCUUAAUCUCAACCUCCAGAUUCUCAGGCCCAUUGCCAAUUACGAAUAUAUUUUCACAAGUCAAGCGUCCAUGUGUGAUGCCUUUUGACCCCAAAUAAGCAACUUUCCCCACGAGACUUCUGAAAAGAGAAUUAAGGUUAUUAAUAGCAUUAAAUAAAAGGGGUGUGCUAUGAACCUUCUCUCUAACUUUCUCCUUUGAACCUUCUCUCUUUUCCUCAUGACAUGUGUCCAAAGGAGAAAGUACUAGAAGGUUGCUAGCAUUCCCCUAAAUAAAAUUUCAAAUAUAAUGGAAAAGUUAAUGGUAAAUGCUACUGACCCAAUUAUAACUUGACCACCGCGUUUGAACUGCUCAUCAUCCCAUUGAUAGUAGUUCUUCAAGUACUCUUUUAAGAGACAUCGAGCAUACAAUCCUUGUGCAGGUGCUGGAGUAGCAGUUGUGUUGGCCACUGAUGGACUUGCCACAUAAGCAGCACCUGUCUCUGCAGAUAAAGGAUUGGCACGUGUUGAUUUGUUUCUCGACUUCUUCUUUUUUGAAGCCAGUUUCUUGUUGGCCAUUAAUCUGAGGUAAAGGUACGUCAUAUCACAUUAGUACUAGAUAUAUAAUAAUUUAAUAAGCAAGAAAAAGAAAAACAUGCAAACAUGUUCACCAAUUUAGUUAAAUUUGUCAAACAAAACUAGUGGUUGACUUGAAAGCUAAACCGUUCCGUAAACUAUAAUGACUGCACAUGAUAGAACACACAUCUUUUGUCUUCCAUUAGAGUUGUCAAAUAUCAAGAAUGUACAAGAGCACAUCUCCUCAAUCCGAUCCCUUCUCUCAUUCUAGAUGGGGUGAAUUCUUGUGUGGGUUGGCUUGACACUUGUAUUUAUAUGCAUCUACUCAAGAGUCUUGCCUAUCAAGAAACUCUUAAGAAGUCCUUAUUGCAUUAGGUUUAUAACUUCUAAUCCACAAUUUAGAUAGGAAUCCUUCUAGCUCUUAUAUCAGCCUUAAAACACUAACUUUAAUAAAGCUUCAGGUUUAGUUGUAUUUGAACUCUUAAUUGAUAUCAAGUUUUAGAAUCCUUUGAUGAUUAUAGGACCACACUUUAAUGGGUUAGACAUCUACACAUUUUAGAACCAAAAGAAAUCGCCCACCUUUUCUGCCGCAACAAUUGGGUGAUUCUACCUAAAGAUCCACUUCCCCAUAUAAAACCUAAACCCUUCCACUGCUUCCUGACUAAAUCUCCAUAUUUGAUUUUGGGGUAUGAUGUUUUUUAUUUAUUUAUUGAAAUUGAGUUAGUUGCAUAAAUUUUCGCUGCUUUUGAGUGAACUAUAAACCAUGACAUGCUUUCAAGUUUUAUGUUUCAGUUUUAAUGGCUACGAUUGAAUUAACUAAAGUUUUCUGAAAGAAUGGGCAAACUGCUGUUGUUAUCAUAUCGUUGUUACAUGUUUUAAAGAAAUUGCUAAAGAAAGACAAGCAUAAAUUUAUGUUGCAAUUAAUAAGGACUAGUUUGAAUUAAUCACUGUGAAUCAGUUUUAGCCUACAUAAUUGACAAGUUUUAUUAACAAAGACCUGUGCCAUAUUUCACUGUGAAGUUUGAAUUAACCACUGUGAAGUUGUUAUUUGAAUAUAAUUAUGUUUUGCGGAUAGUUUUUCAGAAGCACAAAGAAUACAUGCGUACACAUUCAAAGCUUGAGGCAAUUAUCUUCUCCAAGCAUGACAGAAUAAUUGUUAAAAGAUUAGGUCAUUUGAAGAUAUUUAGGUGAGUUAUUCAACAAUCUCUAUACAUAAUGCAGAAACUGUCAGGAAAAACAUAAACUAACAGACUCAAACAUAGGGAGAUUAGGUAAGCAUGUUCUUACUCGGCAAUGUAAGUUCAAGGCAAGAGGAACAGGCCUAAUAGAAAUAAGUUCAUCAGCACCAACAGUUUCAGACAUAUGCUUGUCUAGAAAAAUAUUGCAUUAAUCACACAGAUAUCAGCUGAACUAAAGCAACCUUAGAAGCAGAUAAGAAGUCUAGAUCAUGUUAGAUUAGAGAAGGUAGUUACAAGUUUAACAAAAGAAAACGAUCAAAUUCAGAAUGUGAUUAAAACAAGAAAGAUUGAGUAAGAGAAAAUUAAAACAUAAGAAAUAUGAGUGGGACAGUCGUAUGACUCGUAAGGUAGGAGAAAUAAAAACCAGCACACACGCACAGAGAGAGAGAGAGAGAGAGAGAGAGAGAGAGAGAGAACAGAGAGAAAAAAAAAAAAAAUCUAGUUUACAGUUUACGGCAUUGACAAGGCAUUGCCCUCUCUUGGCAUGGCCUUAUCAUACAAAAACAAAACACACAAAUACUUUGUAUCUGCAGCACAUGCAUGAAUUCCAGCCACAAGCACUAUUGUUUUUUUUACAGAUUUUCAAUUUUUUUUUAAAGACAGUACAAUUGGAAAUAAGCACUAUUGGUCAUCAAAUGUCUUAACAAAGACUAGAUUUGUCAUUGCCUGACAUGAGCAGCCUGUGUUCACACUCUUAUUUCAGUAAUGCAACAUUAACAAAGAUGAGAUCAACUUAGAAAGCCAAUGCUCUAGUUAACUGAAUGUCACCAUAGUUUUCCAAGCAGUGAAAGUUUUUGGCAUGCAGGCAGGAUCAAUAAAGGGUUAUAGUCAAAGAUUUGUCUAGAAAACUUAUACAGAUGUCUAUAAGAAUAAGCCUGCAAUUACUAUGUUCAUGCCAAGGUGCAAAAUUUGCAUUCUGAUUCUUCCAAUUCAGGUAAACAAUACAAGUUCAGAAUUCCAUUAAGCUUCACACACAGGCUAGUAGGUUAGCACAUAUAAGGCUAAACACGUCUCAUAAAUCAAGCUAACAAAUCAAUUUGAGCAUAAGGCUAAACACACAAUAACCUAACCUGAAUGUUACAUAGAAGCAUGUAAUAGAGAGCAAAUAAUAAAAGAAAUGCCAUUCUGUUCUUUAUAGCUUUUCAAAUAAAACCUGCUAAUCCUAUCUUUCUUUAAGCCUUUUUUAACUAAGCUUUCUCUGGUUGAAAGGGCUUAUGAACUGGCCAAAGAACUAUGCCGUUGAAAAACUACAUAAAACAGCAGAUCAAGCAACUGACACAAAAACUUUUCAUAAUUAAAAAAAAUAAAAUAUGACUUUAGAAAAUUUCUUUUGAACCCAACUCACUCAGAGUUGAAAAAAUAUUUUAAAUUGAAAAAAUAUUUUAAACUGAUAGCAAUAAGAACCAGCACUUGAAAAUGAUAUUCAUAAUCUCCAAUUAAUCACCCAAAAAAAUAGCUAAACAUACAAUCUUUGCUGGCACAUUCAAAAUGCAAGUAUGAACCCAAAAUUCAGACUUGUUGGUCCAACACUAAACCCUAGAAGAUUUGUGGACACAAACAAACAAUCAUAAAUUCUACACCAGAUAUUUCUCAAAACCCACCCUGCAAAACCCCAACCAUCCACAAUAUCUCAUUCUUCUUCCAACAAACAAAAGAAUUAACAAAAACAAGAAAACUCCAAGCUCCCCUACCCAUGAUAGUGUAUGCCAAACCUACUAAAUCUGGAAUUUUGAAGAGAAAACAUACACAGCAUAUCCAACUAAUAGUAUAAGUCAUUAGAUUACCAGAUGCUCAGGAUCCAACACUUCUGGGUAUGAAAUAGCCGAUAGCCGAGGAGAAAAGCCAAGGAGGAGGAGGAGGAGGAGGAGGAAGAGGCGUAGAUAAUCGAAAGAGCAGAGGCGGAGGCAGGGCCGUAGAAGAACGAAGGAGGGAGGAACCGUAGGCCGUAGACGAUAGAAGAAGAAAGGGGAAACUAGGUGAUGUCGUUCGUUACCCUCAGGUUUACAAUACUAGGGUUUGCUGGGUUGUUAUCCAAUAGGAAAUAUGAGUCCUAACCAGUCCAGUUGUGCAUUUAAGCUCACCAAACGACGGACAGGAUUGUAAUCCAUUUUAAUUGAAAAAGUCUUCUCCAGUCCAGCCAACAAAACAGGUUCAUUUCUACUGUCUUAGUCCCAAAAUGUAGUAAUUCUGUGGUAAAUCAGCUGUACCGGUACAGCCACUCACAUGCAAGUCACGUGGGGUGUUUUGAAAACAAAGGAAAAUGGUUGUGUUGGUACAGGUUAUAAAAGGGGAAAAAUUGACGCGCCUCCUUCACGAUGCUCCUUCCCCUUCUUCCUAAACCCUCACCUUCCCUUCUCUCUAGUUCAUUUCUUUCUGUUUGUCUCAUUUCUAACAUAGUAUCAUGACUGAUUUCUCUUAUUCACAUGCUUGAAUCUCGAGAACCCUCUUCUUAGAAAUCCCAAAUUUAUUUGAUUUCUUCUAUUUCCCCAAAUCUGAUUCACCUUUGAUUCAUUAAACUUCAACUAUUAUUUAUUAUGGCUUGUACUAAUUCUCUAGUUGCUGCCCUUCUACUAAAUCCAAAUGGAACAGAUGCACACAAAAUUGCAGUCAUGAGCUGAUGAAAACUUCCAUCUGCUGCAAAAUAUGUGAAAAAUGGAGAAGCUGGGGUGGGUUUGAUUGAUCGGUGGACAUCAGGGCUUCAAGUUGAAAACCUCUACCUUGUCGAAAUAAGGAAAAGGUAGUUACUCUCAACCUGUCCAGUGAAUACAGCUGCUUGUUCUCGGUCGACCAAACUGUAAACAUAAUUCUCUCUCUCUCUCACUGAAGCAUCAUCCCCAGCAGGCAGCAGUAAAUACAGCAAGCAUAAUCUCCCAAAUGGUAAGCUUUCUGUUCUUUCUACUAAUUCUUUUAAUUCAACUUAGUAGCAAAGUUUUGAUUUUGGAUUUUGGAGUAAUUUGCUAUUCUGAAGGCCAUGUCAUUUGUCACGUAUCUCAUGACUGAUAAUUUGGUGAUAAUAUGCAAUUGGUCAUCAUAUGUUCGAUGAAAUGCCACAAAAGAGAUGUUGAACAAAUCAACAGUAGUAAAACAAAAAGUUUAUUAAGUAGUUAGUAUUUGACAACAUGGGGAAAAAAAAACAAAAAAACCUUUUGCGCUAUGGUAUGAAUAUGAUUAGUACCCUUAUGUCCAUCCCAAUGAAUUUAUUUUCUAGAACAUAUUUUGUGAGACACACAGUUGGUACUGGUUCAAAGGAUCAAAAUUUAUUUUAUUUUUGUUCUUUUUGUUUUUGGUUGGUAUACAACUGUUGAAUACAACCCCCCGUCACAACAACAGGUCAUGUGACUAAGGUUGAAAGUAGGAGUGGGGUUGUAUAUGCUCAUCAUUUUGUGUUUGUUUUAAGCUCUUUUUGAGUAUCUGCUCGAAGGAUAUAUGGUAAUUCAGAUGUGUAAACAUUUUGUUUUUUCCUCUUUUUCUGCUUUGUACAGCUAUGUUGUGUCUGAGAUGAAUCAGGUUAGACUUCAAUCUUUUUUUCCCUCAGUCUAUCAUAAUUAAGGUGAUAUAUUACUUUUUAGUUACAGAAAGUUUCCUUGAUUUUGUUUUUUGGUUAUUUACUCGUCUUACUACCAUCCUGCAGUUUCUUUAAAGCAUCCUUGCCGUGUGUGUUUUGAAUAUUUAUUUGUUGAUUUUCUUCUUCAUGAACAUCAAUAGAGGUUAGUUUGAGCACUCAAAGUUUGCCCUUGGUCGAACAUCUGUAGGCAUGUUAUUAUUUGAUUUAGUUUCACUAUUGAUUCAAAGUCACUUCUCAAUUUUGCAAAUAAGAGUUGAACUUUUGUUUUGUUUCCAUCAAAUGGCCUCUCGUUUUCAAACUAUCCAAGUUUUUAAUAUAUACUGACUAACAUUUGCCUUUAUGUUCAUAAACUGCUAAAUGGUCAGCCUAAUCCUGGGUUGCCCUCAACUCAUCAUCGGAGGGUUGCCUGCUCCUUCAGGGAUCAGUCUCUGUUUCAAAUAUUCCAAAUAUCCUUAACUUCAUUGCGUCAACUGGAAACUAAUGGUAAUAUGAUGACGUUCGUUCUGAAAUUGUUUGGGUUUGUCCCUUACCACUGCUUUCUAAUAUUGUACUUCUUGUGAUGCACAGUUGCAAGUCGAUUGCAAGAGUUGGCUCUUUCUCUUUCGCUUAAAUGUUUAUCUUUUGAUUUUGUUGGGACAUCAAUUGAUGAAAGUUCUGAAGAAUUUGGUACUGUUCAGGUAUUUUCCUCUUUUGUUUUGGAUGUUUAACCAUUUGAAAGUUUUCCAAGGAGUCCCUUCUGUAAUGGAUCAUAAAUAAUAAUUUUCUAGUAAUUUUACAGAUUCCAUCUGCUUGGAGGUCAGUUUUGGAGGAUCCAUCAACACUUCAAGUAUUCUUUGAUUACUAUGCCAUUACAAAGGGGGUUAGUAUAUGUAAUUUUCUGUUUGAACUAAUUGUUGAUGAUUUCUGUGAUUGGAAGUUUUGUAUCGGAUGAUUGAAGACACAAUUUUUUUUUUUCCAAACACUUUCUUUUAAUUUUGUCAAGUUUUUAACUGGCAUUUACUUUGGCGUGAUACUGUGCUUAUCAAAGUUUGGCAUAUUUGGAUUUUUUAUAGUGAGUAAAUCCAUUUCAGCAUCCUCAUAAUUCCAAAGAUUUUUAAUAGUGAACUAACCUAAAUUGGUUGAGAAAUCUUUGGAGUUAUGAGGAUGCUGAAAUGGAUUUCUUGUCCAUUGCUUGUGUAGUUGUUUGUGUGAUAUAUUGAAGUUUCUUCUUUUCAAGGGGAAAAGAAAAGAAAAAAGAGUUAUGAGGGUGUUAUGCAUGUCAUGGAACUUGUACAUCAUGUUAAUUAUCCUGAUUCCUAUGCAUACCGAUGAAAAGAAUAGGAAAAAGGCAAAAAAAAGAAACCAGUAAAACAUCUGUAGCUUUAAUAGUUCAAAGAAUCAUAUGAAGUUGCCCAAGUACCAGGAUCAUAUGCAGCACGGUCCCCUAAGCGAUUAAAGGCUAUAUGAUCCACAAAUGAAUGACAUAUUUAAGGUUAAAAGAUAAGCAAGAACCUAGGAGUAAGUGAGAAAUACAAGAUGAAGAAAAUUGAGAACAGUGCAAAACAAAUGGUGAUUUUACUAUAUUUUCUAGCUAAGUACUCCACUUUUAGCCUUUGGAACCACUCUACAAGGUACAUUGCUGAGUUCUUUUAGUCAAAAUCUCUUUCUUUUGUCCUUUAUAGCUCCAUCAACCAUGCGACAAUGAAGAAAAUGCCUUCUUGAAUAAGGAACAUCCCUUUCUUUUUCUUUUUAUUCAAUUUUAUAAUCCCAGUAGUGAGGAAGGCUCAUUGCCUCGUCCAUACUGCUAUAGCUGGUCAGGUAAUGAAAUGGCUCUGUGGUAACAAAUUCUCUGCAGUUAAUAUUCUGCCUUGGACCCCAAAGCUGCAUUCCACUGGAAAUAAGAAAAAAAAGUCCUUAACUGUGAACCCAAUACACCUGCAAGGUGAAUGUAGAACAAUCUCCAACGGACAAGUAGGAAAGCUUCACCCCAAUUCAUGAUGAACAAGGUUCUAAAUAUCCUAUCUUUCCAGAACAUCGGAGAAACUUUGGUUUUAUCAGCUCUUUGGGUAGUAUUUCAGUGUUUCAGUGGAAUUUCUCUCAAAACCAACAUAUUUAAGAUAAAUUUCGGCAACGAAGUAGAAGUGUUAACCAGUAAACUAAACAUCUCAAUAACACAUGAGUAAACUAAAUGCGCUAAUGAUUUUGGGGUGAGGCUGUUUACGAUUCACAACCAAUGAAUGUAGGACGUGAUCGAUAUUAUUCAAAUACUCUAUAUUGACAAAUACAACCCAUAUUACUUAAAAUAUUCUCAUUAUAAUCCUUGUUACCCGAUAAAAAUUCAUUUGUCAAAUCAAUAAAUAAUUAAUCCAUUUUGUUAUAAAACUUAUAUAAUUCUAUUCUAUACAAAUGAAAACAAAAUUGAUAUAGAGCUGAUACAAAUUAUAUACACAAAUUAUUAAAGAUUAUUUAGAUCACUUAUUGUUUUCAUUAUACAUGCCUUCUGUCUAGCAUGGAUACGCUACUUCAAAGAGUUUAAAUGCCUAAUUUAUGCAGUAUUGAUUGUAACAUUUCUUAAUGUUCCAUUCUAAAUUUCUCUGUCUUAAAGAAAAUUUUGGUUUUUUUUUAUUAUAUAUUUUCAUUGAUAUUUCCACCAAUAGCGAUAUUUCUACCGAUAUUGAUAUUUCCAUCAACGUUUAUGUAAGUCCGGAGUACUGUUAUAUGUGUGGGUAUGUAUAUUUUAAUCCUUAGCUAUGGAAGGUCUAUAGCAUGCAACAUCCUCACAAUUACUGAAACCAGGCGGAUUGCAAAUUUCUUGUAGUUAGUAUGUCCACCUAGUCAGUCUUUUGCUUUUACAUUGGUUGCAUUAUAAGUUGUCUUAGAUAAUGUUUGGCCUGUAGGUAUUUUCCAAAUUUAUGGUGUGUUUUGGGCAAGUAGCAAUAACUGUUGCUGAGCUUGUAUUGAUGCACAAAGUUUUUAUGAAUAUUUAUCUAAGUGUGAUCUGUAAGAAAAUUUUGCGAUUUUAAAAGGUAACUAGGUCAACGCAUAUAGUUUUUAAGUAGUAAACCUAGUAAUCUUAUAUUAGUAGAAAAUGGUGAGUACACCAGCUGUCCACACAAAAGAUACAACCCUCAACCUGCAAAAAACUAGACACCAAGAGUGUAACACAAAACAGCACCUAACCAGGCUGUAAACAGAAUAAAGCCACCUAAGCUACGAUCAAGAAACUUAAGACACAGAAACUUUGGUGUCCAUGUUUAGAAGAAAGAAUUGCAAGUCACAAACACUGGAGUAGUUAAAGCCCAGAACGUGGUUCAAUUUAUCUCUGAAUGAUUGGGAAUGCUUUCCGUGUCAAUUGAUAUAAUUCACAUAAGGACGUAAAUCAAGAAUAUUACUAGCAAGUACUAAUACUAAAUAAAGAAAAAAAAAACUCUCUUUCGGGCUAAUUUAUUGCUGAUGCUGGAUCCUUGUCAUAGUGGCAGUGGAAGCACAUACAGUUACUUCAUGUAUGUGCAGGCAUACAGCAGUGGAAGUCCUUAACCAACCCCACCANNNNNNNNNNNNNNNNNNNNNNNNNNNNNNNNNNNNNNNNNNNNNNNNNNNNNNNNNNNNNNNNNNNNNNNNNNNNNNNNNNNNNNNNNNNNNNNNNNNNUUUUCCCCCCCCCCCCCCCCCACAAAGUAAUAUGCAUUGAUCUUUGUUUGUCGGAGUAUAAAUUUUCUUCUCCCACCAAUUAAAUAUUAUGUAUUUAUUGUUCAUGUGAUUUCUACUGUUUAAUGCCUUGAAAUUGAGUUUCACUAUGGUUCUUUCUAGGCACUGGAGUGCUUGGUGCGACUAGCUUCUGUUAGACGUUCUUUGUUCACAAAUGAUGCCGCCCGUUCUAAGUUUUUGGCCCAUUUAAUGACAGGAACCAAAGAAAUCCUACAAACUGGGCAAGGUGUCCCUUUUCUGUUGCCGUUUGUUUGUAAUGUAUCUUGUACUCUAAUGAUGAUGAAUGGAAAAUAAUUUGUUUGUGUACAUUUUUGGUAAUUAUUAGAUAUAAUACUUAUUAGAAACUUACUGUAUAUGUAUAUAUUUUAUAAACUUAUAGAUAUUAUUUUGUUUUCCCCUUUUGCUUUUUCACGCUUUUGCAUGAAAAACUAUGGACGGGGCUAGGAUUUGUAUCUAUAUCAAUGAUUUGAAGGCGCGCAUCAGGCACGCUUCACUGCAAGGUGCAUUCCCUAUGCAUCAGAGAGCCAAAUGCAGAGCCCAAGGUAAAGGAGGCACUGUCAAGGCGCGAUUUGUGCGUGAUGGAGGUGCAAAGAGGCGCUGCGCGUCUGCACUCGCCGCGUGUCUGUUUCUCCCCCAACAGCUUAUAUCUGGGCAGAUAUGAGCCAUAUCUGACCAGAGAGAUGAGGGAGCAACCAGACGACGUCGACGCCAGUGAGAGAUGCUGGAGGGGGAUGGGGUUGGUGAAAAGCAGAGAAGAAUAGGGCUAGUGAAACAUAGUGUUUCACUUAUGGGCUGGUAUUUUAAUAAGUUUCUCUUAUGGUCCCAGCCCAUAUAAUUUACAUGACCCAAUUUUUAUUUAUCUCAGCGAUACGUUUUAUAUCAAUGCAUAUGACCCAAAUAUAUAUACAUUUUGUUAUAAUAAUAAUAGGGAUUAAGGCAUUAAACGCAGCGAGACUUAUGCCUCGUGAGGGUUUCCAUAAAAUGCCUCGCGAGGGUUUCCAUAAAACGCCUUGCUUUAUGCCUUAGUAUAAUAAAACAUUGAUCUAUAUUUUACUUUUUCCAAGUUUUGGACACUUGUCAGCUAUUGAGCUAAUACUGUAAAUGACUGGCCCGAAAUCUGAUUGGUUAAUUUAAGAAUUUUAUGUUUCAUCUGUUGGGUUUUGGUUUGUAACGAUUUGUUUGGAAUGAAAUCAGGUCUUGCUGAUCAUGAUAAUUACCAUGAAUAUUGUCGUCUUCUGGGACGUUUCCGAGUGAAUUAUCUGGUAAAUCUUAUUCUUUUUGGUAAUUUUGACAUCAGGCUUUUUCUUUGGUAAGAAAUACCCAAGAGUUAUUUUUGGUAUCUCUGGUUAAUCAUAUAACUUUUAACUACGUAUGUGUGUGUAUGUAUAUUUGUAGUUUACAUUUUAUUUUCGAUAUUUAUUUGAGUAAACUGUUGAAAUUCAAUCUACCCGCUAACCCUUUUUUCUUAGAACUGUUAAAAACAGCCAGUUUCCCCUUACUGUCAAAUGCAUCACAUUUCAUCCAAUUUGCUGUUAAAAAGGCGUCUCAUGUGACACUUCAAUCAUUAAAAACAUAAUUUUUUUGGAAGAAAAUGAAGAAAAAAAGAAGGAAAAAAGAAGAAGCACCCACCCUAUUCUCCUCAGCUUCGAGCCUCCAACCCCUUCUUCUCCCACCCAUACCCACCACCCCAUCCCUCAGCUCAGCCAAACCAGCCCACUACCUCUCUCUGAUAUUAAUUCGGUGGUGGGUUGUGGGGUUUCAAAGAAUAAGAAGAAAUGGGUUGGGGUUUGGGUGGUGGCUGCGUUGGUGAUGAUGGACCCAUGGGUGGGGG
rnacentral:lncRNA from 1 species